rnacentral:lncRNA from 1 species
AUGGCCUGGAGGUCAGAGCAACUUCACUGCUUCGAGAUUUGUGGUUCUUCCGCAGUUUCUCUGAUUAAUGCACGAGGUGCAGAUGUCCAUUUUUCUUCUUUUUUAUUAAGUGACUAUCAACCAAAACUGGUUCAAGCCAUGCUUUUUCCUUUUUAUUUUUUAUUUUUCAAAACCCAUACUCUGGGAAGAACUCGUAAGCAGAACGACUACUGGGAAGUUGAAAUCUAGGGUCUUUUGCUAAACGCCAAGGGCAAGUUGCAAAAUGAACAUGCACCUUUACUUGACUUCUUUGUCUUUGAUUAUCGUCCCUGAACCCCUAAUCAAAGAAGAUAUUAUGUCGAAACUAAAAAGGUGCAUGUGUUUCUCUAAAGAAGAGUCGGGAUCAGGAAAAUCCAUUUUGCUACCAAAUACAAGCAUCAAGUCAUUCAAUAGGGCAACUAGGUACAUAUGGUGGAAAGAAAAUAGAAGUUUUCUAGUGUUUCCACCACCGCCAAAGGAAGAAAGAAAUCUUAUUGGGCGAGUAGAAAAUAUCUCUUGGUAAGUAUAUGCAUGCAGAUAUAUAGAAACGAAAAUAUAUCUGUAGAUGGGUGUGAGAUCAGGUACGUGUAACAAUAACAGAGAAAGGAGUCUAUCAAGUUUUUAUAACAAGAAAGGACUUGAGUACAAGUGGCUCUCAAUGCACUUCUCUUGCUGUUCAUAUACACUGCCCACUACCUGUUUUAAAGGAAAGCCAGGAAGCCCCAACAAGAAGACACCUCCAUAGAUAUUCUUGUCCAAGAAAAACAACAUAAUGAAAUAGUAAAGAUACCAUCCUAUCUUUAAUUCUUGCUUUACCACCAUUAUUGUCCAUUCUCUGGGUCCCCCAUUCCUCCCCACAAAUACAAUAAAACCAAAAGGUGAUUAAAAUUCAUCAAAACAAAAACCUACCAUCACUCAAUAUCUUUCAUCCAACAUUAAACAAAGCUUAUCAAUCACUCACUUGUCCAACACAAGAACAGGAACUACAUCUUUUCUAGUGGGUGCCAUCUUUUUCUCAUGUCAUACUUGACAUGCAUGAAAGACAUAACACCAAUUAUAGGAAGCAAAAAGUUAUUAUUACUUACAAUUUUCAAUCUGCGGUUUUCUUUCUUUUUUUUUGUACCAAAGAUGAAACAAUUGAUAAAUAAUUGGCAAGUGAAAAUUUGGUAAGUGUAUACAUGGUUGGUCCUUGGGGACAUUGUCUUGCCAGCUCUCAUAUAACGAAGCAGUAAAAUAUUGGCUAAACUUAAUGACUAAGGAAAAAUAUUCUGGACUGUCUGCAAUAGUAAUGGGAACUGCCAGCUUACCUUCGUUUUGUUCUGUACGUUUGUGGUUAAAUGCUUUCCUAGUUCAUACUCCGGUAAUCAGCUUAGGACACAGUCACCAAACCUAGAAGUCAUAGGGAAAAUUAGUUUGUUUAGUGAGUGAUACGACAACAGAAGGCUUGUGGGAAGCAGUGCAAAUACUUGAUUUGGAAGAUCAAGAAUUUGACCAUGAAUGCAACUCUCUUGUUGGUUUGUCAACCCGGAAUUUCUUAAAUACUCCAAAAGGAAUCGUGUAAAGGCGUUCUCAUUUGAGGAUAGCAAAGGAGCAGAAAGAUGAAAGUGGGGAAUCCUAAGCUUGAUAAGGGCAACAGUAAAGAUGACAUAAGCAUUGUCCCCCUGGAAAGACCCAAAGCAUCGCAGGGUGGGGUCAAUGACUUGAAAUGAGAUGAAAUAAAUAAAAACAAAACAACAUCAAGCCUCAUACUCUCCAUUUAUUUCUCUUCUCUAAGGUUGAUCUAACUCUUCAAACCAUACCAUAUUUCUUUUAAGCCUUUGCAUUCCUUUCAGCUUUCCUUUGACGCCCUACCUAAUUGUGAAUUACAGAUCAGAAAUGAUUUUCGAAAGAGAAGAAGCGGCUGAAGCUGGAAGUAUAUCUACAAAACAACAAAGCGAGCUAAGAAUUAAUGAGGAUAGCAAUGAAGCAAUUGAAGAGGAGAAUCCAGGAGACUGGUUGAACCUCAGAGUAGGUGGGAAUUCACUAUCAUCAACAGCUGGAGACUCUGACCCCCAAUCAAGACCAGUUUCUGCCAAGGUUUUCUCAUGUAACUUUUGCAUGAGGAAGUUUUACAGUUCCCAAGCCUUGGGUGGCCACCAGAACGCCCACAAGAGGGAGAGAGGUGCAGCCAGGAGAUACCAAUCCCAGAGGAUGAUGUCGAUGAUGGGUUUGCCAAUUAGAUCGCUUGGAGUCCGACCCCAUUCCCUAGUGCAAAAAACAAGCAGAGAUGGAGCUGCAAGUGUAGCAAGAUUUAAUGAUACUUAUACAGGUUUUGGAAUGGCAGCGAUGCACUGUACGGUAGAUGAUGCAAUGGAUUUUAUGUGGCCAGGAAGCUUCCGCUUGGAUUCUCAACUGCCCAAACCACCAUCAGACCCAGCCAAGCUCGACUUGAAUCUUCGACUCUAAUCCAUCUACUCUCCUUUGUCUAAGUUUGGAAGUCCGUUUUAGUACUACCUCUUAUCUUGGAAACAGUUCCUUGACUUGUUCAGCCAUCAGGUACAGAUACUAACUCAGUUAGAGAGUCAGAGUGCGGCUCUGCCUAACAACUAGAAGAAACGACAAGGAUAUCCUUUCACUGUCCAUCGGUAUUUAGUUAGUAGUAUGUUUAUUCCUUUUUCUGCUUCCAGCUUCUUCAGAGUCCAAGAUCAGCCUAAGAGAUUGUGGGUUCUUCUUUUUUUCUCUUGUAUCAGUUGCAUCUCUUGACAAGAACCAUAGAAUUAAAAUAUCCCUUUAAUUUCAUUUCCUCCUAAUUUCUCCAUGCCUAAAUAAAUUCUGAUAUUUCAUACUAACUCACUGAAAUAUAAUCAAGUUUUUUGACGUUGGCUAUUUAUGAAUCCCAGAUAAUUAUAUAUCACAUACGAUAAAGCAUAGUACUGUUGUUCCACGCAUCAAACAAAAAAACUAAGAUUAUACGCUAAAUGAAAGUUAUGGUUUGCACACCAGGGCAUGCAGGGAGGUCUACACAUCUAAUUAAUUUAUCUGCAACAGCAUGCAGAGAGAGGGAAACAGUACCAAGAAAGGAUAACAUAAACCAGUCUCUUCCUAUCAAACAUACAUUUUUCCUUCCUAUACUAACCCCAUUGGUCAAAAUUGUCAUUUACCUUGAACAAAAAUCUUAUCCAGAAUCUACAAACCCAAAAACCAAACAAACAACACCAAUGAAAUUUAACAUUGACCCUAUUUGAUUGCAAGUCAGCAAAAGAAAAAAAAAAAAAAAAGGAGGGGUCAGGACGUGAUAAACCUAGUCGGCAGAAGUUAAGCUAAAGAACCCUGUCGUGAUCAGCAACUGGUCAUUUCACCAAUUACUUCUUUGUAGUCGUGACCAGAGUCUUAAUGGCCACUUUUUCUUCUUGUUUUGGACGUCUGAGGUGCACUUUGAGAUGUUGCCAUAAUGCCAACUCUUAUCUGUUGGGGUCUUCCCAGUUCCCAAGUCUACAGCAAAUUGGUAGGUCAAAAUUUUAAUGAGUUGCGGAAGACUGGUGGUAGCAGAGGCAGUGGCUGAUUAUCUCAGCGUAUAAGCAUGGUUUCCGCAAUUGCCAAUUAGUCUUUUUCAAGUGUCUUCAGCUUGGGUCUAAUUAAAGCACUCUAACCCCAGUUCCUCUCAGCAAAAUGAAUAUUGGAAAGAAAAAGGGACUCCAAAGAAUAACUCCAAUACCAACAAGAUGAACAUUAAUGGUCGUCACUGUCGAAUGUGGGCUAGUUUAAAUUUACUCCACCCAACUUCUCCUAACCCUUUCUCUAGAAUCAGUAAUUUUUUCUUUUCUGCUAUUGUGCACAAGCCCUGUUACCUAUCGGCUGUCUUGUUCACCUUUUUCUGGUUACGACAGAUCAAGCCACUAAUCCAUCAAGUAUUAGAAAGUUUUUCAAAGACAUUUCCAAGAGCUUUAAGUUCCAACAUUGCAUGCCGCUCUAUGUUUAGCAACACAUUGUAAUUGCUUUCAGAUUUCAACUAUCAGCAAUGAGCUUCUGCACUAAUAUUCCAAUAAGGUCUCCAUUUCCAAAAGCUCCUUUGCUUAAUUUGUUUUCCAGUCUUCGCACUUGUUGUGGUUAAUGUUGUAAGGGAUGAAACUAUGGCACCUUAAACCCAGAUUAAAUGGAUAAUUCUAACUCUUGUUUACACACAAACUUACAUAAUAAAAUUUGCUUGCUAAUGGUACAUAUGAAAUGCAUUGAAAAAGACUUUUUCGCUUAUGGAAUGCACCUGAAUGGAUCAAAGUUUACCAUGACCAGAGCAUAAAAAUAAUUUGAAUCUGUUUCACGAAGGUAAUUUACAGUCUACAAGUUACCAGGGACUCUAAGCUUUUGGGUUUGAUGCAUGAUGACAGGAAGUCUUUGGCUGAUGAUGCUCGGAUCACUAUACGAAGCAGAAUCGGUAGGAUAUCCAUUCUGCACCAUAUUAGAAUACGUCAACGUUAUAACAGUAAGCAAGAAAAGCAGAUUUUGUUCAUAAGAUAUCUAAACAAAGUUCAAUGUGCUAAUUUUAGCACAUUCCUUGAUAGAUAACAUGGCAAACUGACAAUCAUGUAUCUAAGAACUUAACAUUGUCAUGAGCUCUGGUUAUUAGGGCUAUAUUGCAAAACAUUGAAACCGUGAAUUCAAACAGUUUCGCCAGGGUUUAAAUUUCAACAGAAUACCAUAUUAGUAUUAUGCAGAGAAACAAAGUUCAACUUGAGUUAAAGCUUCUGGGUAUAUUUUUCCACCUGCAAUCACACCAAAAGGAGAAGGGAAAAAUAGCUUCUUGAAAUAGUAUAUUUUUAGAGUUCUCUAAACUCCCAUGACAUAGAGAAAUUUAUUAAAUAUGGCACUGGGGGCACAAAUAAAUUGACAAAUUCUAUUUUCCGGAAAGGCCUAACAAAACUCUAAUUAGAAUACUUAACACACUGAACUAAGAUCUUAUAGGGAACCCCCUUUGAGAAUCUUUGCAAUUUUUUUUAUACUUGAGAAUCUCUACUAUUUUCAAAAUUAGUCAUUUCUGUAUACUCUAACAGGUCAAUUAGAACCCUUAUCUUUUUGGAGAAAUGAAGACAAACUAUUUAAGUUGCAGCAACCAGGAGUUAAGCUUGUCACUUGAGGAAAGAUAACAAGUUUCCCAGGCAACAUUCACAAGUACAUGUGUAUGUAAGAGGUAUGCACACAUGCAAACAGAGAGAAAGUGAGCAAGUGAUCAUAUACUUACAGCAGAUAAAGCUUGAAAUGUGCCUUCUCUCCAACAUCUUUCUCGAAGAAUGACAGGAUUUGCACUCUCAUCAAAAACACAAUGCAUACGGGUGUCCCUUAAUCUCAUUAGCACUCCAUCAACCCGAAGCUGUGCAAAAAACUGAGUAAGUGGCUGAACAGGGUAAUAAGUUCCAGGAAACAGAAAGUAUAGGUGCACCAGCUUAUAUCUUCUUAAGAGUUUUUCAGGCAACCACAUGAACCAAAGCUCAGAUUUUCAAAACUUGUUCCAGGAUAAAGGGAAAUAAAGGUGAAGGGGGCAAAAAAAGAAAAGAUAGGUAAAAAAAUUGUCAAUCGCAUAGAUUCGCCUAAUGACGAGCAUUAUGGUAGUCUCCCACUUACCCAAAAUCGUAAGAGAAGGAACCAAGAACUUGGCAUGACUCUCUAGAAAAAGAAAAUAUAUAAUUAGUUGUCUUCCAUUUAAAUCACUGAACAGAUUACAUCCACUUUAAAACACAACUAGUCAGAGAGAUUCAACACUUUACCACUUUCACAGUUAGAAGUGACACUCCAUUAUCAGCCAAUUCAUCUUCAUACAAAACUACCUGCACAAAAAAAAUUAAUACUUCUGUAACUGCAAACACAAGAAUGUCAAGAAGAGCAUAUGAAAUACAAUAUGUCUUUUUCAUUUGUGGCACCUAGUUAUAAUUGACGAAGCUCACCUCAUCGUAGAAUAGAAUAGGUUCUUUUAAUGCGAGGGCAGCCACAUCAAGCUGCUCUUCGCAAUCCUCCCAAUGGAGGCCUGAACUCCCCCCUGAGAUUUCCCCACUUUCACGCUGAUUACAAUUUAUAAUACCAACAGAAACAGCAUCAUCAUCAUCAUCAUCAUUUAUGUUAAAAAUCAAAUUAUCUAACAAAAACAAAAUUAUGCCUUUGUAAAAAUCCCUAAUUCUCAAUUCUCAAAAAAGAAAAUUGUAAAUUUUUGCAUAUUUCCAUACAAAAAAGGGGACAAAACCCUAGUUCAAGAAUGCUUAAAAGUAAGUGACAUUUAAAUAAAUAAAUAAAAGACAGACCUUGUCUGCAUCAAGCUCAACCGUUUCACUUCCACAAUAAGGAGUUGUAAACGUAUAGUCAUAGUCCAAUAUCACCUGCUGGAAGGGUUUACUGCAACAUCCAAGCAAUCAAUUUUGCUUAACUUUUCGAUAUAUUUUAAAAAAAUAAAAAUAAUGAAACAUAAACUCGAAUGCAAAUUACAUAAAAAGGUUAAAAGAAGAUUGGCAUUUUUACCUUCUGAAUUUCCAUUUAGCAGCAGCGGGAACUUCAACAGGAGGCAAACCUUCCUGUUUCCAACCGGCCAGAGCAUCAAAUGCAUUAAAAUGAAUUUUGGUGCCGCUGCCUACGUGCUUAAGAACCAAACAACUUUCACCGAAAAUCAUCUCCGGUAAGUGACAAGUUUGGAGGUUUUGUUCCCAUUGUUGGAGAGCCAAGGAAGUGAGAAUAGAGCGAUUACGAGACUCGAUCUCCCAAACGCUGAUACGCAAUCCGCGCCUUCCAUCUGUCAAAAGCUCGGCUCCCGCCGAUCUUAGGUCUUUCUCGUCUACUUCCACUUCCAUCGUCGCCGAUUUCACCAACUUCACGCCUUUUACCCUCUGUAAAACAACAAAGUUCUCUUCUUCGGUUUACUUUCUGCGCAGAUAUUCUUCCGGGUCGGAUCCAAUGUGGGCAACAUGGCCUAAUAUAAAUUUGAAAAGCCCAACUGCUCCAGAUAUUUUGAAACCCAAAGCCCAAUUGAUCCAGGCCUUUGAAGCCCGCUAAUUUUUCUUAAAAAACUUUUACUUAAGUUAAUUGAGAACAACUUUAUUGUUAUUCUAUGUAUCUAUUAUAAAAAAUUUACAACAUUACCAGGAACAAAAUAAUACAUUUGAUGUUAGAACCUCAGUUUAUCAACUUGUUUUUGUUAUUUAGCAAGAUUUAAAUAUAAAAAUUCCCAAUUUUUCUUAAAAAAAUGCAAGUAGAGUUUUUAGCAACAAAAUGGAUAUUAAAAACCCAAUGCACUAGAAAAUUUGAUAUUUAAGAAAAACCAAAAAAAAAAUUUAAGCCCUAUCUGCAAUUAAAGAUUAGAUUAAGAUCUGCACUUCAAAAUUAGAGUAAGCAUUUAUCUUUUGUAGUCAUUGUAUUCUUAUUUUAUUUUAAUAUCGUAUUAUAAAUACAUAAAAAAUAACAUGAGAGGAUGCGAUGUGCAUUGAUUCCUUAAGUUUGUUCUCUUGUACAAUUUCUCAUAAUGGCAAUCACUUGAGAAAAAUAAAAGUAUACCUUGUUUCAGCAGUAAAUGAUAUACAAAAUAGUGGGACUUAAACAAGAAACACCAGUCCCAGUGUAUGUAGCAUUAUCAUUUAGUAUCAUCCUAAGGCAAUUUCAUUAGCAUGAUUUACAAAAUUAAUAGAGAUCCAGAACUCUCAACUUUGCCUACACAAAGAGUUGUAAGCACUGAGCAAGUAAUUGAACCGCCACUCUCAACCAGCAGUUGAAAGACAUACCCUCGUCCAAACUGAAGCAUAAACUGUUAGAUGAAACUUCUCAACAGUACAGUUCAACCUACAAAGUCAACUUCUUUAGAAGGAACUUCCCUAUCAUCAUUCCUCAACAGCCUCAAAAUACUGUCCAGGAACUUCCAAAGGCGAAGACAAAGAGGCCACGCACUUAAACUGUUUCAAAGAGGAUCAAAUUUCUUAUCAGAUUAUAUUGCACAAGUAGUGGUGCCAUCCCUGUCUUAAACUCUGUUAUUCAAUGCUCCAAAUCCUUGAUGUAAAAUAAAAAAACCUCUGGCUAGUUAGGAAGCUGAGCUCUACAACUAUCUGAAAAUACAGCAUUAAAGUUAAAGCCAGAUGGUCACCUUAUGCUGCAAAUACUUUUCUGUCACAGCUCUUAAAUAACUUCUUGUUCGAUUCAGAUGUAAGCCAUGGAUGGCAAUAACACAUUCCUUCAUGUCAGAUGGUCUAUAACCCGAGUAACAUUCCAGUGCGUCGCUCUGCAGAUCAGGAUAAAAGAAUCUCUUAGUGAUUAUUGUUUCUGCUUUUACAAAUGGUCAGUGCAAUCUCUACUGAAAUUUUGCAAUAUGCAGCUAUUUGCCUACAACCAGUCUGAUCAAUAAGAUGAAAAUCUGGGGAAGACAUGGACCUCUCCCUCGAAAAGGAUCCUUUAGAAACAGAGACUACCAUCUCUUUUGUGUCUGGGUCUGGAGAGUGGUAUUUUUAUUGCCUUCUCCCACAACCAUCCAAAUUCAUUUGUUGCCAUUUGUCAGUUACUAGGUGCAUGUCAACAUUUAUGGUAAACAUCAACUUCUCCUCCUGCUGAACUUUUAAUCUAAUUGAAACCAUAGUCACUGUAAAAUACAAUACCACAGGCUUUUUGGCAUUUUUUGUGAUAACAUCUCAGCCGAUCAAGUUAUUUGCAGCACCAAUAAAUUGCCAAAAAUCUUAAAUAAGUCACCAACUCUCAUAUAUGCAAUGUGAGGACAUUCUAGAAUGAAAAAUAUAUAGAUUUCUUACCCAAGGAUGUGUUUUCGGUUGGAUCAUGAAUCUUGAAAGAAAAAUAGCUGAUGAGGCUACUAAUGAUGGUAAGAAUCGUACACACCCAUAAUCCAGCAAACUUAGCUCGGAAAGAUAGCAACUCAAAAACUCCAAUUGCAAAUCUUGACACUAAGGAGCUCACAAAUUCAGAAGAAUCAGCAAAAUCUAUUAGUAAGGAUAAACUGUAAGCAUACUGAUACAAAAAGCUAUGCUUACUUUGCAUUUUUCCUGAGGAGCUCUCAUUAAAAUUCUGCACGCCCAACAAGAACAUACAUUAGUCUCACUAAUUAUCAGUAAGCAAUCACAUUUGCGGGAGGAAAGAGCAUUGUUGAUUAAAGGGAAAAUACAAAAACCUAAAACAUUUGGACAGCAUUCUUGCCUGAGAAAAUUUCUGAUAGUGGGAGUACCAAUUUCAAAAUUCAACAAUUCAAGUACAUCUUUCUCCAUCUCCACCACCUACAGAUUUGGUAAAUUUUAAGUCUGAAACACAAGAAGAAAAGCAGAGGAAGGACUAAGAGUAGAGACGGAAGAAAUGAUGAGAUGUAUAUAUACCUCUUCCUUGGUGUAAGAAUUGUCUGUUAUAUAGCAAAAAUCGUCAACAUGCGGAGGAGUGAUCUCUUCAUACUUUCUGUGGCAUCAAUGUAUAAUCAUGUCAAUAACAAAAUGUAAUGAAUAAAUCAACCCAAGUCAAAAAAGAAAACAAGGAAUCAGGGUUAACGUGUUUACGAGGCAAUAAGCAUGCAAGAAACACCUAGAAGUUGUAGCUUGUUGCUACUGAUAGCAUGAGAAGAGAGGUAUCUGUCAAUGUAUGACACUGUAAGAUAAAGGGUGUCGGAAACGAGUUUGUAUUCCUCAGUCACUUCCACCAACCACUCGAUCAGAAUUUCCCUCAUAUUCACUGUAACAUCGUUCUGAACCUUCUCCAUGUAAUUGGGCAAUGGCCUUCUUUUCUCCUCAAUCUGAAUCAAAAUCAUCAUUACAAAGACCAGCGAUUGAUCUUUAUUAUAUUUUGCACCACAGAUUUUUAUAAUCAUAUUUAAAAAAAAAAAAACAAGAAAACCAUUUUCGAAAUCAAAAUUAAUAAAAUUAGUUAAUGUUUACACAACGCAUCAAAUAUUUUCCUUUUGUAACACAUUUCUAAAGCGAUUGAAAAACAGCAUAUUAAAAUAAAGCAAAGAGAAUACUUAUAAAAAAAGAAUAUAGGAAAGCAUCAGUAUUUGACUUUACCUCCAAAGAGUGGAGAUGUUCAUAUGUAGAAGAUGAGAAAGUGCACUUCUUCAAAUCUCGAAAGUUCUCAUCAAACUCUUCGAUAGGUUCUUGCCUUUUUUUCUCUUUCAAUUCAGGCAUUGGCUUCUUCUCGCUACUCGGGUCUCUCUCACUCUUGGAUCUGCAUUUUGGGUUCUGAGUCGACCCGAGAUCAGUCGAGUUGGUGAGUUCACCAAGAACGACCCGUUUCUUGGUCGAGGAAGGUUGCGGAGGAAAAGAGUGAUUCAUGGGGGCUCGCUUUUUAGAUGAGGAGCACGUUAAAGGCACACGAUUCUCUUGAUCAACUUCCAUUAGGGUGAUGAUUUGAAGAAUUCUUGCAGAACUCUGUAGAUUUCUUGCCUCUUUUUCUAGGUGGGUUUUAUUUAUUUAUAAGAAAAGGUGAGGGGUAGAGGGAAAUGGUAAGGGUGCCGCCGUUUUCUGUAUUUUGAAAAUGAUUUUUACCGCCUUUUACUGACCGUUUCUUGAUCUGAUCUGCUACUGCAUUUUAUGCAGCAACCACAGAUACGGCGCCGUUUCACUCUUGCACCUACUUUUUACAGUAUAGCACAUGGCGGUUAAUGAUUAAGGAAAUUAAAUAUUCUAAUACAAACAUUUUUUUAGCUUUUUCAAAUCCUACUGGAGAAGGGUGUAAUAAAAAUAGACCUUAUUAGUAAAUUACAAAAGUACAUCAAUAAAUGCCUUUCUAAUCCUUGGAUUACCGUCUCAGCAUAAGCUAAUAGCUUCAUGGCCAUGCCAACCUGGUUAAUUGCGGAGGAUGUCUUCUUCUUUUUUUCUUUUUCUUCUAGCUGUAGGUGCCUGGUUAAAAUUUUUUCCUAGGACCAUGAAAACAAAAGAAAAAAAAAAUUUUGAUUUUCUCAAACUAACGAAAUUCUUGUCUGGAGCCUGCCUGCCUCCUAUUUGCAUUAACUAAAAGCUUAGCCGGGAGCUUUUGCUUCUCCUCAAUAUCUUUUUUUGAAUCAAAAUCAGUUGCCCGAUCCUCCAUUUCACCAUUAUGAUUCAUCUUUCUAGUUCCCGAUCUUUUUCAAUUUAUUUUUCCACUGUUAUCACCGUCCCUCACAUUCCCGCUGCCAGUAACCUCUUUGUUUGGAAGAGACGAGGUGAUGUCUUUCUCUGAAGCAUUGUUGGCUAUGGUCUCGUGACUAGAUGGUGAAUUGUUGAAGCUCCAGCGAGCAUUGUCAAACCAUUUGCUAACCUGCACAACAAAGGAAGUUGUGUUAAGAAACGAAAACUGAAGGAUAAAAGCACUAUAUUAUGUUGAUUAAGACGUGCAAGAAAAAAGCGUGGUAUUUGAGAAAAGUAACAUUUAGUUGCUGCAAGGAGAGAAGCUAAGACCUGCUGGAAAGUCAUAUCUAGCUCUUUCGCCAAACUCUGUUUAGUGGCUCUGUCAGGAUACUGAUUUUCCUUGAAAGAUUUAUACAGUCUCUGUACAGCAAAAUACCCACCAAAUUAAUCUCUACUUUUUCAAAAGAAAAUACAUUAGUAAUCAUAUUCAACUCUAGUGCUUUCACAAACAAAAGCCUGAUUAUAGAGAAGUUUUGCUCUUGUUUCCAAGUUGUCAAAGUUGUAUAAGACACCAUAUUUACCUGCUUCACAGCUUCUCCUAGUCUUUUGUAUGUUGAUGAACCCGCUUUUUUACCACUUGAACCAGAUACAGAAGUGUUCCCCUGUAUUUCAGCAGGUGACGAAUCUGUAUCUUUAAACCUUGACAUCUGGCGAGUUUUUCUCCUAGGUUUAUGCUCAGUCUCUUCUGGAUUCUGCUUUAAACCAUCAGAAACUGACACAGUCCUGCUUACAGAAACGUUUCCAUUUUCUGGUGCUGAUGCCACUUCUGCAGUACAUUUGUUCCUUUUUCUUGGUGCAGUGAUAUCACUCCAAUCUUCAUCAUCACUGGAACUAGAAGGAACAUUGCCAUACGUCUCCUGUAUAUACCCAAAAGAAUGAUAAACAAAUCACAGAGGAAAGGACCAAAACUUUUUAAAUGACUGAACUGCCGAAAGGACACCAAAUAGAAAAGCCAUUUUGCAGUGACUCCAUCAUGCAGAAAAUGAUCUAUAAUAGCAACAUAUCUAGGCAAGUUUUCUAAAUGAAAGGGGAAAAAAAAAAGGAGAACCGGUAUAUAUAACAGAAGAGAGAACCAUCUGUACGAUAAUAUUUUGAAAUGACACUCACAUCAUAUAAUCUUUUGUAGUCCAACCUUUCGAUGCUUCGUUUCUUAGAAAUAGCAGAACCAUCUUGUUCAGAAGCUGGUUCCAUUAUUGAUAACAGCUCAUCAUUCAUAGACUCCUUUUCACCAAGUUUAGGCUUUCGCCUCUUGGAAUCUCUGGGAGCACUGUUAGCCAUGGGGCCUUCAUCUUUUUGAGAUGUAAUAUCUUCUUCGAGCAUAGCAUCAAGAUCCUCAGAAUCAGAUGAAAAAUCUGAACUUGAACUUUCUGGCUUAACCACUUCGUCAUGAUUUGGACCAUCAGGAUCAUAAUCAUCAUCCUCCGAAUCAUCAGAUGGAAGCCCCAAGUACUGGUCCACCUUCGCUGGGACUUCCAAUUCCUCAGAUGUAGAAGUGAACUCAGAUUCCUCAGAACUUGAUUCAUCUCCAUGGUCCUUCUCAUCAGUUUCUGAACCAUCAGGAUUAUAAUCAUUAUCAUCAGAAUCAUCUGAAGGUAGUCCAAAGUUAGGAUCCUGAUUUUGUCCAGCUGCAGCUACUGCUGCCUCAGGAAAGACUUUCUGUUCAUAGAAAGGACUAUGAUAAGGAAUUAAAAAAUCCAAGUACUAACCAAAGAAAAGAAAGAAGAUUUGUUAUUGACCUCCCAACUAUCAGUGAUAGAAAAACUUGUUCCUUGAGAUUCAUUAACCAAUUCAAUACAAUCAACUUUGCAAUCACAUCCGGGGCAUAACCAACCCUCAUCAUCGGGGGGAACUGUACCAAUAGGGGAAGAGAUGACCAAAAAGGCAUUAAUGACAAUGAAACAAUUCAAAACCCACAAUACCAAUCAAUUACUAUCAGGCAGGCAAUCAAGAUAUUACUGUCUUCUUUUAGCAAAGGUGGUUGCAAGCAAUAUUGAUGGAAUCCACGGUCACAAGCACCAUCACAGAGUAUGAUAUCAUUGUUGGCAGACAGGUCCUUGGACCCACAUUUUGCACAGAAUAUCUGCAAUUAAAAGAUUUCAUGUCUAAGCAUUUCUAAUUCCAAGACACAAAUUAUCAUCAUCAAUAAGAAUAGCAACUACGAAUAUAUGAACAUGACUUAUAACUAUGAUUCUCCUACAUCCUCACUGUCAAUUUGUCCUUCAGAAUCAAAUAAAGAUUCUGGAAGCUUUCCUUCAGCACAUAACGAAUCGAUAUGUUGAAAUAGAUCUCUAAUUUUCAAUUUGCGUCGAAGAAUUUCAGAUGUAGCCCGUUGAAGUUCCUUCUCUGGCUUUAACUUUUCUAGGCUGCAUGUUAGACAAACAGUCCAAAGCAACAUCCAGACGUUAGCUAUCCAUGGGGAAAUGGACAAUCAGACUACUCUGGUGACAGAUACACAGAUGUAAAGGAUCAAUUCAGUUCCAAAAGGUAACAACUUCGCAUUUGAUCCAACAUUUCAACUUUGUUCUUCUUGAAAGUGUUUCCAAAAAAUCUAUUCUCUGAGGUUUUACACUGAAUUUAUCCUUCAUUCUCAACAGUCAAUGCAUAAAGUAAGAUUAACAUAGUCAUAAAUCUAUAAUAUGUUAUUGUGGGAUCAAUGUACAAGUGAAUUCAUUAGAAACACUAUGAUGGUGGAAACAGUAGAUUUUACUAUUAAGAAUACACUUAAUUUUCAAAUACUUUCUUCCUAUUUGAUGAAUGCCAUCUCCGGGAAAUCGCAGAGUGCAUAAGGAUGUUUGUAAGUCAAUAUCUAUUUAAUAAAUAAUAAAAUAGAAAAAACGGUGGAGAAGAAUUAUAUACUGAAUCCAUGAGACUGAUGGUGAAAACAAUAAGAGAUGAAAAUGACAACAUGAGGAAGAUGCUAGAGAGUAAUGAUGAAGCUUGCGCAAAACCAAAAAAGUAUACAAGCCCAGACCCUUGACACUGAUUCUGUUCAUGAUGAAGAAGAUUCAAUACUAGGCUUUUAUAUUCUUGUCAUUCCAACAACUUUGGAAUUGGUAUUAGACAUUACAUUCUCAAAGCAAUACAUGUUGAUGGUGGUAAGCAAGUAAUGGACCAUCAGACAGUGAAAAGUACAAGGUAUGUUAAGAUGAUUAAACUCAUAUUUGCUUUGUCCUCCCUUCAACAAUUAUAUCUAAUUGGGAACAUAUCAGAUUUAAGAUCAAGACAAACAUUUUGUGACAACAUCAUGACAAUUAGAUCAUAAACAACAUCAAGGCAAAGAGAUGCAAGAUAGAACAGUACAAUAAACACACCUUAGUCCCUUCCAGCCUUCUGUAGAAUAUGCAGCAAUCAGGCUCCGCUCAUAGUUUAUUCGAUUCAAUAAAUACCUAAGAUGUGUCCUGAUUCUUGAAAAUUCAUCGGCAACUUCUCUAUUUGCCUUCCUCCUCCUCCUCUUCCUCCUUUUUUGCUGCUCACUAGAGCCAACAUCAGCCAAAUUAUUGCUCGACUCAGUAGCUUUAGGUUUCUCUUGCAAUUUUGAGCGCAAAACUCUAUCACUGCUUCUCAAAGAUCUUAGCAUAUACUUUUUCUUUAUUGUUUUUGAAGUUUUUCCAUUCCUGCGUCGGCCAGAAUUCUCGAGUAAAUUCUUAGGCUUUGUCUCAUGCUGUUCCACACCAGAAUUUUGGGCCAUGUCUUCACAAGGGAGCCCUGAUUGUUGAGUGCUUGGAUUUCCCUGAGCAAAUUCUUGAGGCAAUCCUAAAGGUUCAACAAGAGGACUUUUACUAGACUGAAUAACAUUGGUCACACCUUCAGGAGGAGAGUGUAAGUGUCCACCACAAUGACUCUUGCCCAUAUCUUCAGGUUUCAGUUGCAAGGCUUGAUUAGAAACAUUAGAAGAUACUGCAAUAAUACUUUCUUCUAUACCAUUAGGUAAACUUUCAGAAUCAAGCUGUUGUCGUUGCUCUGGUGAUUCACCAAGUUCCUUACAUACAUUUCCAGAACCAAAGUUAACUGUUGGCUCUGAACUAACUAGUUGAGGACAUGAAAGUUUAUCAGUCUUGGUGUGUUUGCUUGAAUCUUCUGGCAAUAGUCCUAAACUUUCAGUAAUAGCAUUCUCGGACAAACCUUCAGAAAAUGUCCGCAAAUUUUUAGCAGGAAGGUCACAAACCAAAGAACAGGCUUCUUCAAGUUCAUUUUGAACAAUUUCAGAACCAGGUUGAUGCUUCUCUUCUGAUGUUUCAGUGCGCACAUAUUCACAAUCAUACUCAUGUGUCUUUCCUGAUACAGUUUCUUGAGCAUAAAAACUUUUAUCAGUAUGAUUAUGCCCCAUCACACCUUUAGGAAGCAGUCCCGAACGUUCAGGGGAAGAAUUCUUAGCCACAUACUCAGGAGAUCGUUCAUGAACGCCAGAGCUAGAUACACCAGUGGCAUUUUCUGCAGAUUCAUUUUGUGUUGCUGCAUAGCCACAUUGAUUUUUAUUUUCUGAAAGUUCAGUAAGUAAAUAUUCGCUGCCAAAUUCAUGGGCCUGCUCUGAUGUACUUUCUUCAGGGCAAAAAUGGUUUCCUUUUUUACUCUUAGCUUGUGAUGGAGAAACGCCCAUAUGUUCAACCUUGAUCAUAUCAGUUAGAAGGCUAACAAUGACACAUACCAGCACCCAUAUUACCACAAUAAGUUGGGAAUAUUCAAUUUAACAAAUAAACAAAUUAAUAAGUUUGACAGGACACAUGGUAAAAUUAUUUAGUUGACAGAAUCCAAAGAUCCAAACAUACGAUUUAAAACCCAAAGUAAUAUACAUUUCACCUUAAAUUGAUAUCAAAAAGACCAAGUCUUAACAAUCACAACAAGUAAGAAUCUUUUGCGUUGCAUUCCACGCACCAGCAGCAGAUGGUCUACAAUCUAAUUUAGCUAACGAAAUGCUGAGAGAGAAAGAAAGAGAGAUUACAGGAAUCAACAAUAAUUAACCAACCAAAAAGAGUAAAAUAUCAAUUAUGGACAGCUUAAUGCUACGGCAGACACAAAUCACUCACAAGGAAAUGUAAAAAAAGAAAUAACAAUGAAAAUAAUAAAAACUCAUAAGACAUUAAGCUUUAUUAGAAACCAAAUUAUUGCGAGUCUUCUACUUGGUUGGUGAUAAGGUAUUGAUUAAAGUUCAUUGGACAGCAACAAAACUUAUCUUAAACUAAAGCUGGCAUGGGCAGACAAUUAUUAGUUACAUACAACCAAAACCAGUUUAACGUUAAACAUUACCCAUUAUUUCUCCAAGCUAGACCCUAACAAAACGUGCCCAAUGCAACUCUGUUUAUUUAUAUCUUUGAACAUGGAAAACACACCAUAAAAAAUAACUGGACUAUUCAUAAGGGGGGAAAAAAAAGAAAAACCUACCAUGUCUACCAAUGUAAUCCAUAGUAAUUAUAGUGAGAAACUUCAAGAGAUUUUCAUUUAUUCUCAACAACAAUGAUAAUUCAACUCCCUAAUACACCAAAUUUGAGCUUGUUUCCUGAGAAAAUUAUGAUUUUUCAAAUAACUUUGGGGAAAUCAAGGGAGGGGGAAGAGGAGGGGAAGGGAAGGGAAGUAAUUUCAUUAAAUUGCAACUGCAGUACACAUCCAACCAAUCAUGUAUCACAAAACUUUUUUUCCUUUUUGAGGAAAAAAAAAAGAUGCUUUAAGCAUGCUGACCAAAAGCAAAAAGCGCUAAUGGACCUCAUCAAAGCUCCUUUUAUAUCAAACUAUGAUUUUAGUUACAUAAUUUUAACAUAGCUAUCAAAUAUUUUGAUUUGUGUAAGAUCACCAAUGCCGCUAAAUGUUCUUACUUCUUAAUUAGGUUGAUCAUAAUAAAGGUACAAGAAGCAACCAAAAAUAGGAAGCAGAAGUAAUGGCACCUCGAAAGUUUACUGGGAAACAAUGUAAAGAAAUCAACAUAAUAUAUACAACACCAGAUGUCAAAAAGAUAACCCAAGAACAAAUUGGUCGGAGCAGACUCCAAAGAAAGUGACAUUUAAAAAACCAGUAUCUCCUAAAUUUGGAGGUGCAUCACUAUUUUUCAAUUGAAAACAGCCAAACACUGAAGUACAAUUAUUUCCUCAACUACGAGUCAUUGCAUACCCUGACUUAACUUUCCAUUCAUUACUCAGCAUCAUUCAUGCAAACGAGAAUAUUGCAUUUUCAAAUGUACAUCUCUUUAAUUCACUAUCAAAAUCCUAUACAAGAUAUUACUUUAACUAAACAGAAACCAAUCUUUCCAACAUUUUAAAAAAAUCUUCAAUAUCUAGGUGUCAUUUUCUAAAUCAAACCCUAGAUGGUAACAUCAUUCAGUUCCAUCUAACAAAAAUUGCUCAUUUCCAGCUUUUAAUGGUUAAGCUUACACCGUAUCCGAAGCGUAAUGAAACUUAAUGCAAUUAAAACCUAGACUGAGCACUCUAGUAACCUAAGCUAAGAUUAUUAGCUCCGUAAAGAAAACCUGAGAAAUAAAAGAUUUGAAAACUUUCGCAUCCUUCUAUAUUUUUAACCUCGGUUUUCUCAGCAACCAAACAAAGAUGGACAAAGAGAAGAAAAAUAAACGAAGCAAGAAGAAAAGAAAACGAAAAGCUUAACCGAGACGGCAUUUUGGAUAUUUUGUUUAACAAGUGAGAGCAACAGAAGCAUUAGAUUCGAAAUGAUUAGCGCUCAAACUUUCUCGGUGAUUUUCUUUUCUUUUCUUUUCCUUCAACGAAAAAAAAAAAACAACCAAACAGAAAAAGUUGUUUUUUAAGGAACUGACCUUGAAUCUCGUGCGUUUUGCAAAUAUUCAGAGAGAGAAAGGAGAUUCUUGAGCAGCGAUGAUAGAAGAAGAAGGAACGAAGAUGAAAAAAAAAAAAAAAAGAAAGAAGAAAAGAAAAAAGCGGUGGGGAGAGAGAGAGUGGAGUGUCUGCGUAAUAAUAAAAAGGGCCUGUAAUUCUGGGCCACCGUCGCCGAACGAGCGAGAGAGAGAGAGAGGGCUUGUUUAGUUUCUUUGCUAUUUUGCGCUUGCAGCGUAGAAUGUUCUUCUCCACUUUCUAUGGGCUGGGCCGCUUCUUUGGCCUUCUUUUUUUUUUUCGUCAAACUUAACUGUUAAUCCUCUAAGCACUAAGCACUCAUAAUACAAUUUAUAUUUGACCUAUUAAGGGGUAUAAUAUUUGUAUGUUAUCACUUAAUUAUAAAGCAUUAUUUUAUAAAUAUAUACAAAUAAACGUUUAAAAUUUAUUCAAAAUAUAUAUUUAAAUUUAUGAAUAUUUACUUUUAAAAAUGUUUAAUUUUAUUUAUUAUUGAGAUAAUAACAUUUAGUUCAUUCAUAAUGUAUAGAAAUUAUAUUUUAAUAACAUAUCAAAUAUAAAUUCAUAAAAAUAAAAUCAAUAAUUUAUAAAAAUUAGAAAAAAAAAACUGCCAAAAUAUUUUUUAUUAAAAUUUUUAUGUCAGAAUUUUCAUAGUUAAGGUUCAAUCUCCAACAAAAACAAAAUAUUUUGCAACUUCAAUCAAGUAACCUUAACAUCUACUUACAACACGUCGUUAGGUUGUAGCGAUAAUAUUGCAUGGGUUCUCCUUUUGUCUUAUUUGGGCCCGGCUAUUUUAGUAGCGAACUGAAACUGUGAAAAUAUGUGUUAUGAUCAAGAUUUAUAAUUCAAGAAAAAUAUUUAGCUUAUGCGACAAAAAAUUAAAUUAGCAUAAUGUCAUUUACAAUACUUUGAAAAAUAUUAUUUUUUAAAAAUGAGUAAAUCCGGUAGAAAUAAAUAAUUAUUCAUGAAAUGAUAUAAACUCUCAAGACAAAAAAGAAUGCAGCAAAAUAAAUAAAAUGAAACAAAAUAAUGUAAAUAGCAUACUUUUAAUCAUUUGACUAAUGAUGGUUGACUAACAAUAGAAUUAAGAGUAAUUACACCCAAAAAUAUUCAAAUUAGUACUAAUAGUCAUCUAUAUAUAUAUAUAUAUAUAUAUAUAUAUAUAUAUAUGUAUAUAUUAGUUGAGAGCUCAUUAUGCUACAUAUAUAAAUAUGUUUAUUGGCUGUAAUUUUCAUUUUUGUAUUCAGAUUUUUAAAGUGGGAUUGCCAUUUAUUUAUUCAUUUGGAAUAAUAAUUAAAAAUAUUUACCAAAUUCAAAAACAAAAUUAAGAUAUUCAUUUAAUAGUCAAAUGCAAGCAAUCUAAUUUGUUUGAACAAAAAAAGGAUAUAUUUAGAAUUUCACUUUAUAAUUUUAAUUUUGAAAUUUGAAUCUUAAUUAUUUAUCUAAGGUAUAAUGAAUUGAAUUCAAAUUUAUUUAUAUAAGGCAAUAAGGAUGGAUAUUUGAAAGUAAAGAAAUGUAAUUAAUUUAGUCAAAUAUUUAUUUUUUGAAAAAAUAAAGAUGUAUUAUAUCAAAUAAAAUGUAUGAAUUAAAAAAUAGAUGAUGUUAAAUUAAAUUAUUCGUAUGUCAUACAAAUUAACCAUUCACUUGAAACUAUUUCUUUUUUGAAAGAGAUUCUGUUUUUAUAUUGCAUGUAAUUUGAUUUUAUACAAGUUUUUUUUUUAAAUAAAAAAAUUGAAUUAUAUACAAAUUAUAAAUUUCGUCCCUCAAAGUUAAAUAUACAUUUUUAUAUUUUGUUUUGUUUGGGGUGAAACUAGAAAGAGAGUAAAUGAGACUAGAGUAGGAUUGCACACUAAAUUAAAAUUAAUAUACUUACCAAGUAAUAUCUAAGCAUUUGACUCGCGACAGAAAAACACAAAUUAAGUAGAAAUUCAUCUACCUUCCUCCAAUAAAAAAAAACAAAAAUUUAGAAGGAAAAAAAAAAGGGGUUUUGCUUUUGCCUUAUAUUUGUUGGGCUAUCUCUAUUAAGAGAUUAUUUAUGCAAAAAGGGUUCGUGUUUCGUGAUAUAUCUCUUGGUUCUUGAACCUGAAAGCUGAAGCAUAUAAUAAUCAACGUGUAGUAUUGAUUCAGCCAAAGAAAAGAAACUUGUAGUGUACAUAGAGAUAAAGCGAUGCACCCAAAUCCGCCUCUGCUUCUGGUUUUAAUGCACAGAUUUCUCGCAAAUCAUGUGAUGAUUAAACAGUUUGACAGAUGGGUUGGGUCGAUCAAGGAGAAAGAUUUGGCAACUCCAGCGACAAUUUUGCAUUGACCACUUUUUGCUGCCGUUUGAUUAAUUACCGAGAAACAAUGAAUUCGAAAGACUGUUAAAACAUUAAGGAUAAGGACAUCAUCAUCGUGCUUUUCAGUGUUGGCUUGUGGGCUCCUAUGAAACUCAAUUCAACGCUAUUCACCGAUGCCGACUGGCUAGUUUCAUGCAUCGCACUCAAACCUUGAGGUGGCAACUUUUUACUUUUUCAGCAAACCAAAUCAAUAAAAGCACCACUUACAUUUAGAAAAGUUAAUUCGUACUUUAAGUAGUCGUGUUAUGUCAAUGUAUUUGAUGAAAAUAAUGAGUUUACGGAAUAAAUAGUUUGGUUAUUAGAGUAAUGCGCAGGAUUUGAAUAUUGGAAUCACCCACUUAUUUUGACUGACUUUUUCUUUUACACUGGAAAACAUUUCCAAACUUUCCACCAUUUUCAUCCCUUAAUUUAACCCAAAUCGGUCCACGUGUCCUAAUUUAACCCACUUUUCAAGCAAAUUUGAUCUCAGCAGUCAAAGAACGUGCGAAAGAUGGAGUUUCUCGGAAGCAAGUGAAAGCAAAAGUCCAAGUUUGGGUGUUCAGUGGUACAUUUACUUUCAGUCAAGUCCCACCAGCUGUUGUCUUUUAACGAAGCCCUGGUAAAUCGAGCCAAGGCAAAAACAGCGAACAAACAACAAAGUCACAACUGUAGUCAAUAGACCAACAUUCAAAUACUGACAGUAAUGAUGGUGCGGGAUGGAAAAUUCCGUUGAAGACAAGUAUGUAUCAUAUAGUUAUUUAAUUAUUAAUUUUUAUAGUUUUUAUGAUGUGAAAAAUGUAGAAAGAAAAAUGCUAUGGUCACUAGCACUCGGGGAAAAACAUUUCAUUCUUUUUUUUAUGAAAAAAGAAGCAUAUUCAUCGUUUGUGAAAAUAAAAUUCUUAUCAUUUUCAUUAAAUGAGUGAUCAAAUUACAUUUACACUUACAAGUAAUAUUUUAAUAAAUCAACAGUUGAUUAUAACAAGUUAUGUUGUAUUCAAGUUGAGAAUAUAUACAUAUAUAUUGCUAUUUAAAAAAAAUAAUAUAUAUUUUUAAUAUGUAUUUAAUUAUAUCAAACAAAUAAUUCAUUAUUUUUAAUAAACUAUAAAAUUGAAAUACCUGAUCUAAAUGAAUAGAAUAUGAAUCCAACAAUUUAAUUAAUCAAAUACAAAUUGUAUGAAAAGAUAAAUAUUUGAAUGACUAUAAUUCAAAACAUGCAUUAUAAUCUGUAUUGUGAGUUGAAUAGUGAAAAUUUGGAAUAAGAGAAAGGCCAUUUUCUUUUUUUUUUUUGUAAUUAAUUUAAGUGCAAUGAAUUUUUCAUAUGUAACAAAAGAUUGUGGUGUGAAAGCAAUACUAGUAUCGUUGUGUUGCUGAUCCAGUACUCAAGUAACAAUAAUGAUGCUGUGGAAUACUUAUAAGAAUGCAUUACAACCGUUUUGAUUGUGACAUUAUAUUUGUAAUAUUACAUAAAAUGCAAAAAGAGAAAUGGUAUGAAUAUUAGGGAGUAUUCAUAGGAAGACCUCGAUGGUACUCUAUAGAGUUUGCACACGACAAGUUUUACUUUGACUUAAUGUUAUGAGAUAUAGUUGAAAUUUCAAAAGUAUUUCGUGUCAUUUAAUCAUUGUUAUUAUAUUAGUAAUAUACGCUAUAUGCUGUACUAUUUAAAAUUAAAAAAUGAAAUAAACAAUUUUAAUUAAUUAAAUUUUACAAUAAAUAUUUAAAAAUUACUUUAUUUAAUUAUUUUAGAGAAUAUUUAUUAAUAACCCAUUUAUAUAAUUGUUGAGACGGGAAAUUAAAAAAAUGCACCAGGUUAUUUAAUUUUAUUAAUUAACAAUCAUAAAACGAUGCAUAAGUCGUGUGUCACGUACGAUUUAUUGAAAUCAGAUUGACCAUGAAGCAAUAUAAUAUAAACUGGUGGUGCCAACGCCAAGCAAAGUGCGCAAAUUAAUAUUUGGGUAAACGUCCCUUCUCCCCGCUUUUACACCACGUGAAAACGGGCGAAGAGGAAGCAUCCUUCACGCCGGGGUGGCGCUAUUGCUCCUUGGAAAAACAUUUCCACGUGCGAACUUCUAUGCCAAAUCAUUGGUAAUAGACUUUUGACUUGAAAAAACCAUGAGGCCACCAAUUUGCCGGUUCUCACUUUCCUCUGUUCUUUCUUACUUCCACGUUAACUCCACUCCCCCCCUUGCGCAACAUUUUCUUCUUCUUUUUUCUCUUUACGCUACGGAGAAUAUAUAAAUGAUUUAAUUCAAACUCUUCCAAGUAGUUGCCUUUCCUUUCCUUUGAAUACGAGGAAUCUCAUUUGCACUGUUACACGAUCUAAUUAUUAAAACUCAUAAUGGAAGUAAAUAUUUGAAUUUAGUUAGAUUGAACGUGUGAAGUAUAUAUACAUUUAUUCAUCUUCUUUCGAAAUUCAAAUUUAAUAUUUUAACGACAAGAUUUUAAAAUUUAAUCAUUGAAAUAUUUCUUUAAAAUACAAAAAAAAUUAAUGAAUUAAUUAAGUAGGCAGAACUUUGACUGUUUUGUAAAUUGCCCAUGACGGUUGAGCUUUCAGGAUUUUCCGUUUUUCAUUAUGUGUUUGGUUGUCGGAGGUCCAAGGAAGAAACUAAAUAAUCUAACAUGAGAAAAGAUUUGAUAAAAUCAUGUGCAUAUUUUUUGUAUUAGACUUAAAGGUCGGUUGGAAUUUUGGUUUGGUGGCUGCGAUUAUAAUGCGGCCCUUUUGACUGGAAAUUAAGGCGACCGACUCCCCGGUUGUUUUAACGUGUCCCAUAACGCAAUCCAACCGCAAAAAUUAUAGAAAAAGGAAGGACAAUUGUGGGAGGUACCUUUUAGUUUAAAACAUUCUUCUCCAUGUAUUUUUGUCCCUUUUGUUAAAUCGAAAGAGACAGUCAGUCAUUACCUCAGUUGUUCAUGAAUCAACAUAUUAUAACCAACAAACAACAUAAUAAGUUUUAGAAGAACACCCUUUUAAAAGCAGUUUGUAUUCUACAUUAAUUUGUACAACAAAAAAAAAUCUAUAUAAGAGUAAUUAUUCAAUAAAAUUUAAUUAAUAAAAUAUAUGAUCAAGUAAACUCUGAUUUCAUGUUAAGACAGAUAUAUUAACUAAAUUUUUUAACAUAACAUAUUGCAAUGCAUUAUUAUGUAACAUAUUUAAUUGUCAAAUUGUUACAUAUUUAUAUUCCACCUCCCUGGAAUCUAAAAUAAAUGCGUAGAAUUGGGUGGAACACAAACUUGUCCACCAUAGGGGAUAGCUUGUAGCUUUGUCCACAAGAUUUAUUGCCGAGACGAUGAGGUUCACAUGCAAAUGCAAGCUUUCGUAGCUAGUCAAGUCAGUGUUGCUCACCUCCGAAGGUGCGUUACUAAUUAUUGACCAGCACACGGGUGAGUUGUACUUAUUGUACGGUCCUUUUUUUUCGCAACUUGUAUAGAACAACAUUAACUUCUCGUUGGACAUAAGCGGCAGAGCUCCCAAUUUUCUUUUUUAUUCUUUUGUCUCUUCCUUAUUGCUUGCUUCGGGAAAUGGAAAAAUUCAUUAGGAAUGAUUAUUUUCGGUUAUUAAAAAUCAGAUAUGUUUACCUUAAUUUAUAUAUGAUAAUUGGUAAAUUAAAUCAUUGAAAUAAUUCUUUUUCUUUUUUACAUUUUAAUUACUUACACGAAUUAAAAUUUAUAACUUUCGGGUAAAAAAAUAUUUAUAAUUUAUAAUGUUAUGCAUGUUUUUCACAUAUUCGAAUGAUUACUUUAAUAAUUGAAACAUAGCAUUGGUUUGAUUUAUACCAAAAUAUCUAUUGCACUAGUUCACUCUUGAUCUACACACAAUCAAAUUAAGAUGUAUACUUAACAUAACCUGAUAUGACGAAGAUAUGUUGGUUAAUGGGUGGUCCCGAGCCAUAAAAAGUUCAACAAAUGAAAGGAAAAAAGCCCUCAUACAUGUCCCCUUACUCCUUUCUUUUGGACAGCUGCGAACAAGUCAUUUUCACCAAAGCUAAUUUUUCCAUAAAAACCUAACCACGAAAACAAAGCAAAAGACUCCCAAUGCUUUGCUAUUCUCCCUGCCUAAUCAAAAGUCAUCUCCAUCUCCAACUUGACUGUUGAAGGGUUGAAUUUCAUUUAUAAUUAGAUUAAUUUUUUUUCUUCCCUUUAAAGUGCCCCCAAAUUUUGACACACACCAAACAGACUCUUCAAAACCAGCAAGAAAACCCUGGCGUUUGCCAUCGGUACACGCUAUCACUUUGGUUUUGUGUUGCAGUUAUGUGCUACAAAGUCUACAAUAAUUAGUUAUAUUUAGGUGACAAAGUUUGAGAUUAUCUCGGCAACUUUCCAUUUUUUCUCUACAUAUUUUAAUAGUAUUUGUAUACUUAUUACGGGACAAUGUUCCACAAUUUCGUGUCGUCGUGUUAUUCGUUGGCUUUUAUCAAUUCGUCACGAAUAAGUCAUCCCCAUUGAAAACAAUUACAACUACAAAUUUAAAAAAAUAAUGCAUUGCAAGGGGAAAUAAAAAGAAAAUUAAUCAUGUAUGGUGACCUUAAUACAAGCAUCCAUUUCUUUAGUUAUUUUUCAACAGAAGAAUAAGGAUAAUGUAAUGUCGGUUAAGCCAUGUUAUUAUAUUUAAGAUUCUGACGGUUACGAAUAGUCUUCCUGACCAAAAGCAGACGUGCUUACUAUUUUUAAUAGCCGAUACUUCAAAUAUUUUAUGGUGUUUAUGACACAUUCAUAAAAGAACGGAACCUUUCUAGUAGUACCCUUUUGUUAUUACAACUUAGUCUUAGUACUUUCAUUGAAACUUUCGAUGUAUUUAUUGGAAAAAAAAAAUUAUACUAAUUUCUCAUAUGCAAGAAAAUUGUAAUAUCAAGACAACAUUCCACAUCACCUGGAUGGUUUGUUUCCGUUUCCAUGCAACGUAGAAGCAGGAACUGUCAGGAUGUUCCAUACAGCGAUGUCGGUUUUAGGCUUUUCGCCUAUUUCCUGUCCUCUUAAGCUAGAAAAUGCUAAAAAUUACUUCUAGUAUUUUCUUUCACAUAAUGAUGCAAUGUCGAAGAAUGAAAAGAACUAGUUAAAUUUAGGUUAACUGUACCGGAAACGUUUCCAAAUGCUACACUUCUUCGUCCUUGCACUACACAUUAAUGUAACUUUAUGAACCGUCUUUAAUGCAUGUCCCCAACUUUUAUACGUAUGUUCUUGUACACCUAAGCGAGGAGGAGGAGAUGUGGAAGAUGAAGAGAAUUAAAUGAAAAAAAGCUUAGGAAACUAUAGAGGAAAUGAACCACACGUGAUUGCCACUCCAUUUGUUUUGGUAUGACACGGGAACUUCAAAUAAAGUUGUUUCCCUUUUGUCCGCUUUAAGUAUAUAUAUAUACUAUUAUUAUGUAUGGACGUUCAAUUAAUAUAAUAAUAAGCCCAAAUUGCUGCUCGCAUUAGUAUUUAAUGAAAGGCGUCCUUUUCCUUUAAGCAACAGAGACAAAAUAAUGCACUUUUAAAAAAGGGUAAAAGGAGAGAAAUAAUAAAUUUGAACAAAACAACUUACUCUUAUGAUUUAUUAAUGCAGAAGAAAAGGAGAAAGAGAGUGGUGAUGUAAGCUUGUCAAAAACCUUUUUGUGCGAUAGUCUUUUCAGAAAAUAAUUUUUGGCCGGUUAUUUUUCCAGAACUGAAUUUGGCUUUAAUGGCAGUGGGCAGUGGGCAGUAGUCAUAGACAAAAGGGCUUUUCCAGUAUUUGGGCUAUCGGCAACAAAAAAAAAAAAUGGUGCAAUAAGCAUAGGCACCUGUCUCACGUGCCGGCAGCCCAUCGUUAUCAAGGGCCAACAAUUUCACUCGAAAGCAGCCGCGUGGUUGUAUGACGCGUAGCCUUCAUUUUCACCCCUGUGCUCCGCUGACAUGGCGGUCACCUAACCCCACAUGCCUGCCUCAUUUCGUGCCAUGUCUACGUGUUGUGGCCCCCACCUUGUCUCCUCCCAGCACUACAUUUCAGUAGACAAAGAAAUAAAAUCUUCCUGGACCUUUUUGCUCUCAUUUUUAUUCCCCUCCCUAACUCUUUUAUUUUUUUUUCUUUUUAAUUUUCAAUAAAGAAAAUGUGUAUAUACCCUUUUCCUAUUGUUUUUAUUUUCUCCAAUUUCCACAACUUCUCCGUAUAAGUCCGUCAGCCUCCUUCCUAGCUCCCGCCCCUUGUAGGUCCCAUAUUGACAUCGCAGUUAACGUGGCACUUCGCUUCCAAGUCCUGGCCUUCCCUAUAUAAAGCCCCUUCGACCUUCCCAACCUCAUCACAGAUUCGCAGUUCACAGCCCUUCCUCUCCCUCCCUAUAACAGACUCCCUCUUUCACUCUCUUAAAUUACUCUUCUUUUUUCUCUCUAAAAUCCAACGCUUUAAUUUUUUUCCCUCUUAACAAAUUUAAUAAAAUCUCCCUCUUGAAAUGGCUGUCGAUUCCGCUCUCUCAUCUCCACUGGGUCCACCAGCAUGCGAGAAAGAUGCAAAAGCUUUGCAAUUCGUCGAGGAAAUGACUAGAAGUGCCGAUCCUGUUCAAGAAAGAGUUUUGGCAGAAAUCUUAAGCCGAAACUCCCAAACUGAGUACCUCAGAAGGUUCAAGCUCAAUGGUGCAACCGACCGAGACACUUUCAAGUCCAAACUUCCAGUGAUUACUUACGAGGAUCUUCAGCCUGAAAUCCAGCGUAUUGCUAAUGGUGACCGCUCUCCUAUUUUAUCUGCCCACCCCAUCUCAGAAUUUCUCACCAGGUUCGUAUAUAUAAACUGCGAUCACUUGUAGUCUUUAAAGAAAAAAGAAAAAUGGGAUAUACUAAAUAAUUUGAUGCUGAUGUUUGAAUUUCCUGGAAAAUUGUGCAGCUCCGGAACUUCAGCUGGUGAGAGGAAACUCAUGCCAACAAUUAAAGAAGAGCUAGAUCGCCGUCAGUUGCUCUACAGUUUGCUCAUGCCAGUAAUGAAUCUGUAAGUAUUUUAAAAAUGAUAGGCUAUAGACAUUAGUAAUUAGUUUGUGUUUUCUUUCUUCCUUUUAAUUAAUGGAACGCGCUUUCUAUGUAACAGUUAUGUGCCGGGUUUGGACAAAGGCAAGGGACUUUACUUCUUGUUUGUGAAAUCAGAAACAAGGACCCCGGGUGGUCUCUUGGCUCGUCCUGUGCUUACCAGCUACUACAAGAGUGAACAUUUCAAGACACGACCAUAUGACCCUUACAACGUUUACACCAGCCCCAACGAAGCCAUCCUCUGCGCCGACUCCUUCCAGAGCAUGUAUACCCAGAUGCUCUGCGGGCUCCAGGAACGCCAACAAGUUCUCCGCGUUGGCGCAGUGUUUGCCUCCGGCCUACUCCGCGCAAUCAGGUUCCUUCAACUGAAUUGGCAACAACUCACCCAGGAUAUCGAAACAGGUUCCUUGAGUCCAAAAAUCACCGACCCUUCACUAAGGGAAUGCAUGGCUAAGAUCCUGAAACCCAACCCUGAGCUUGCUGAGUUUGUUCGCCAAGAAUGUUCAAAGGACAGCUGGGAGGGAAUCAUUACAAGAAUUUGGCCCAACACAAAAUACCUUGACGUUAUAGUAACUGGAGCUAUGGCACAGUAUAUUCCGACCCUGGAUUAUUACAGCGGUGGAGUACCUUUAGCAUGCACCAUGUACGCUUCAUCCGAAUGCUAUUUUGGCUUAAACCUUAACCCCAUGUGCAAACCAUCAGAAGUUUCCUAUACCAUCAUGCCAAACAUGGCCUACUUCGAGUUCUUACCCCACGAGCCUAAUUCAGCUGGGUUCACUCGUGACUCGCCUCCUAAACUCGUCGACCUUGUUGAUGUGGAAGUCGGGAAAGAAUACGAGCUUGUAAUCACAACCUAUGCAGGUUUAUGCAGAUACCGAGUCGGUGACAUUCUCCGAGUUACUGGAUUUCACAACUCAGCCCCGCAAUUCCAUUUCGUAAGGAGGAAGAACGUGUUGCUCAGCAUUGACGCGGACAAAACCGACGAGGCUGAGUUACAAAAAGCUGUUGAAAACGCUUCUCAAUUGUUGCGUGAGUUCAACACCAGUGUCGUCGAAUACACGAGUUAUGCAGACACGAAAACGAUUCCUGGUCACUACGUGAUAUACUGGGAGUUGCUAGUGAAAGACUUGGCUAACUCGCCUAGUGAUGAGGUCCUGAAACAAUGUUGUUUAGCAAUGGAGGAGUCGCUCAACUCAGUGUACCGACAAGGCCGAGUUGCGGAUAACUCAAUAGGCCCACUGGAAAUCCGAGUGGUAAAAAGUGGCACAUUUGAGGAGUUAAUGGAUUACGCCAUAUCAAGAGGGGCUUCCAUCAAUCAGUAUAAGGUUCCAAGGUGUGUUAACUUCACUCCAAUCAUGGAGUUGCUCGAUUCUAGGGUGGUAUCGGCGCAUUUUAGCCCAGCUUUGCCACAUUGGACCCCGGAAAGGAGAAGGUGAUUUACUGAUAUAUUUAGGCACCGACCAGAUUAAGUCAAUGAGAAUGGUUUAUAUUUGUAGAUGCUCUUCGUUUUUAUUUUUUAAUUUACUUGAGGGUUUCCUUUCUUUUUUUUCUUUUCCUUUUCGGAGUAGCUUUUGGUAAAGGGUAAAAGUGUAAGUUGAUUAGGAUGUUUCAGGGUCGGGUUUUGUAUUUUGAUUCAAAGGAUGUGAGCUGAAGCUGAUGUCUGUCCACUGAAUUGCAUCUUUCAUGUAAUGGAGCAGAUAAGGCUUCCUUUGAAACAUGGUGAACUUGCCCUGCUUUAAUAUCCUUUGUCCUUGUCUUUUGUUUUCAACGUUUGUUUUCUUUGCGAAAGGUACAGGACCAUGUUAUUAAUUAACAAAACUGAGAAGAAGGGGAAACCAAAGUAGUCUAGGCAAGCAAAUUGAAUGGAGUAAAUGAAUUUUGUACCCCAAAAUGUAGGGAGGAGAAGCUUUUCAGCAGGAUAAAUAAUUAACUAGCAACAGACUUAGAUAUAUGUAGUUUUGGUUGGAAUUCAAAAAUUUUCCAGACAAUUGUUUAUCUUCCAAGUACAAAAUGAUUUCAAUGAUCACUUAGAGGAGGAAAACGACAGCAGUUUGUCAUUUGUUUUCCACAGCAGGAGAGAGAGACAGAGAUAAGGAAAUGACGUGAACCACGUUAGUCAAAUGGGCAAGGGAGAAUUUGAGAUAAAGAGCAUUACAGCAUUACCCCUUGUAAGACGGCAUUUUGGAAGUCAAGAUGAAAAAAGUUUGCGAUGUUCAUCACUUCCAUCUUCUUAAAAAGUUUGGUUUGGGAAUGACUGAAAGUGGCUCCAGUAAUUACUGAUGCAGACACUUCCGACAUAAACACUUUUUUGAUAAUUCACUUUGUAUGGCUUUUCCCAGUGAAUUAUCUGGGUUGUCUCCAACCACCCCCGUUAUGGAAUGAUGUUGAUGUAAAUUCACUGAAUCGGAAAAACAAAGCAAGUAAAUUCCAACGGUGGCAAGUAAGAGAAGAAAAACAAAUCAUUGGAGUUGAAUAAAUUUCUUUCCGACAAGUAAAUUAUGCAGUUGCUUCCCAAAAGAAGCAAGUAACUAAUGCAUAUCCAUUCGAUCAGCUUAAGUUUUUAGGCAUUAGAAAACAAAAAAAAACAAUCCUUGGUUCUCAGGUAAUCAAUCCAUUAAGAGUAUUGGUCCCCAUUAACAUGCUUCACCAGUUAAAUAUCACAUCUACAAAGAAAAGAUCUUACCCAAUUUAAGUAAUCGAUAUGCCUGGCAACAAAUUUCAGGGCCUACUGCUCCAAAUCUGAUUGAUAGUUAAUGAGAUUCAAUAACUAGUGGCUGAUGACCUGUUUCCCGUGUAAGGGGUUGCUUUAGAGACGCAUUAAGUAAGCUUGCCGGGUGUGGCUUCAGGCCAGAGCAGACCAGAAACAUAAAGAAAACAGCCCAUUGUCUGUCCCAACUCCGAAGUAUGCUAACACUGGGGACCAAAGCCUUCCCUUUUGGCAGCCUAUCCUGAAAGGAUCCAACCAAGGUUGAACAAAACUAGCAUUCCUUUUUACUCCGCUUGAAACAUCCUUGGUCUAUGUAAAAACAGCCUAUCCUUAAACUAUGCAACCAGUGCAAAAUCUUGUUGUAAUCGGAUUAACAAUUUUGCUAUUGCAGAGGUCAUUCCCAAUUCUCUGGUUUUGAUUACCUGAUCCUUUUAACGCUCUGGAGUGGGAUCCAUAUUGCCAAAUACUUUCCUCUUGGUUUAUUGCGCAACAGGGGACGCUUGCCAUCCAAAUGGGGGCACAUGUUACACUUCUAGCCACUCAUGAGAAAUCAUUGCAGAAGAAAGUUCAAAGUUCUAAAUCCUAGUUAAUCACCCUCCGGCUCCACAAGAAAGCUUCAAUGGUCAUGCAGAUACUCACCGAAUGGUUUGUUCUAGAAGUGACUGGUUGUUAUGGGUAAUGGCGGAAGAGCUCAAUAUAAACGUGUAUUUGAUGGGGUGGGGCAUGCCACUUUCUUAGCUAUCAUGUCUUUGCUUGAACUUUAUGAAGAUCAAGUGUAAAUGCAAUUAUGUCUGUCUCUAUUCUUUUUUUUUUUUGUUAGAUUAGAGUAGAUGGAAACUAACCUUGAAGAUUCCAGUAAAAGGGGACUAGCCCUUAAUUUGUGAUGGUUGAGUUGCAGAAGUUGGGACUUAAUAAGAAAGGGAUAAAAAAGAAGAAGGUAAAACUAAAUUAUAUCUAUCUAGACAAUUUUCUACUAUGAUUUAAUAUCAUCUAUAUUGGUGAAUAUGCAUUUAGUGCAUGCAGUACAUUUGGCAAUGCUGGCAUGGCUCUUCCUUUAAGAAUGAUGGAGAUAAAGUUUGGCAUACGGAUAUUUGCAUGUGAAAAAUGUUAUACUUGUCUGGCUUAUUCUUCAUUUCAUAGAUACAAAGCCUAGAAUUCUGCUAUAGUGGAAACAUGAUUCAGCGGAACACUUUUUUCUUGGACAAAAAUUACAGCAGAAAGUAAAUAUAUUUGAAACUUUGCUAUUGUUAAAAAUAAUUAAAUAAUAUCUUAUCAAAUUGUAAUUUUAUGUCUAUACCCUUGACUUUUGGUGAGGAAAAGAAUUACAUACACUACUACUUUUAAUUUGUGUUAAAAAAAAAAGAAAAUGGUUUUAUUUGUAAUAAAAAAAAAAGGAAACGAGAGAAAUAAGCCACGCCAGCUGGGUAACGUAACUGACUCCGUUGACGGUUUGACGGUGUUACGUUACCUCUAACGUCCCCGUCCGAAACCCUUCGACUUUUCCUUUUUGUUUCCUUCCACCAAACAAUUGUGGCUGCGGUUACUGCUCGAAGGAAACGAAAAACUUAAUUGGCGGAGAGAGAAGAGAGGAAGAGGGCCGAGAGUAGUGGUGGCAAAAUUUCAGCUAUAUGGCCACCCCUCUUUCCUCUUUCCUUUCCUCUCAUCUCCCUCCUCGUUCCCUCUCUUACCAAUCGCAUUCAAUUUCAAAGCCCUUUCUCUCCUUCCCUGCUCUUCGCUGUCUCCCCUCUUCGAACCCUAGAAAAUUCCCCAAAACCCCUCUCCUUGCUUUCUCUUCCGGUAAUUUCGAUGGCUCUCCUUUCCAUGAUGCCUUCGGUUCUAAUCCUACUCCCUCUAAGGUCAGCUUUGUCCAAUCAUUUUUAAUUUUGGAAAGUUUCUUAUCUUUUCAAAUUUUCUUUGUUUGCAUUCGAAGUAGUGAGAAAUUGGCAAAUUGCUGAAUUUAGUUUGGAAUUGCUGAUUUUAGUUUAAGUAUUUCUUCUUGGCUUAGCUGAUAACGCUACGCUGAACUUGUUAGAAUAGGAAAUUGGGGUUUUGAAUUUCAUCUCGUGGACGAGAAAUUUUUACGUUUAGAUUGAUUGAAUUGUUUUAGGAUUAUUUAAGAUUUAUCAUUUUAUUGGUUUGUUGAGAAAAUAGGGGAAAUUGUGCAAAAUUGUGGUAUCGAAUUUUUAUGUUUUUUUCAUAUAGGAAUGAGGAAAACAGUGUUAUCUACAGAACUGAAACUGAUGUAAUAUCACACUUCUGCUGUUUUCAUAAAUUACUAUUAUCUAACUUCUGCCUUUUCUUUUCUUUACUCUGUAUAGUAGAUGCUGAGGUUAUGGUUAGCAAUGAACUCUAUAGUUAUAGCUGAUGUAACAUAUGUUUUGCUAAUUACAUUCUCAUUACUCUUGAAAAUGUGGUCUGAAAUGAAUAAAAGUACUAUUAUGGACUACAGUCUGGAAGGCAAUUUCUUUCCUAAAGUCUACAAUCAUUUUCAUGUGUAUUGGAUUUGGUUCCAAUUUUUCUACACAUAAUGAGAUCAUCGAACCUGGCUAAUGAAUACUUUGGGGAACAUGUACAUCCCUUUAACUUUAACGUAUCCACUUAAAAUAUGUGUGGUGGUUUAUCCAUGUGAACCACAUUUAAGAAAGGGAUGGGUUAAGAAGUCAAUGGGACUUGGAGGAUACGUUGGGAUGAUGACUCUCUUGUUUUCUUUUCAUAUGAGAAGGUUCCCGUUUGUUUUCCUUGCCCUUGUGCUUCAGGAAAUUUAUAAAAUUACCAAUAUAUUUCAGCUUUUGUUCAUUUGUAAUAAGUCCUGAUAAUUACAAGAAUUAACAGGGAUAGGCAAUGAUUCUAGUUUACAAAUUAAUGCAUACAUGUACUAUUUUCAAAGUGAUUUUCUGGUAAUGAUUUAGAGAUUGACUUUUAGUAUUUUCUUUCAGAAAUCAGUCCUCACCAAUCUGAUACAGGAGAUAGAACCAUUCGAUGUGAGCCUUAUCCAAAAAGAUGUCCCUCCCACAACUGUGGAUGCCAUGAAAAGGACUAUUUCAGGCAUGUUGGGUUUACUUCCAUCUGAUAGAUUUCAAGUCUUUAUCGAGGCAUUGUGGGAACCUCUCUCCAAGUUGUUGGUUUCUUCUAUGAUGACCGGGUAUGUUCAUAUUCUACAUGAUAUGCACCAUUGUAAUAAAUGUUUCUAUACUCUGGUUGGUUGCCAAGCAGGUGAAACCUUAGCUAGGGCCAACAAGCAUUGAAACUAUCACAACAAGCAUUAAUGCCCCUAGCCUAGGGGCUUUAAUGCUGCUUGUGAUAGUUUCAAUGCUUGUUGGACAUAUCUUUGCUAUUUAUCCCUCUUGUUUGAAAAAAGGGUUGAUGUCAUACUAACAUUUGUUGGGGAGAAGAGCCAAAUUUUGAACGGAUGCUAAAAAUAGCUUAAUAUAUGUCUGUUGACGCCACUUGAACUCAAAAGCCAAAGCUAAUGGGUUCAUAUCCUCCAUUUAUAUAUUUCACAUUUACAUCCUAUUUCUUUUUUAUGUGGGACAAUCACUUUCACAUGUGAAUCCUAACAACAUUUGUUUUUAAUAUUAAUGCUAAGAUCAUAAGUUUAAAUGUUUGUUAUGCCAUGGGACAUGCAGGGUAGCAUUUACCUCCAAUAGAUGGAGGUCAGAAUAUGAGGGGUAUUAUGAAUAAUAGUUCUUGUUGAAUUGCAGUUAUACAUUGAGGAAUGCUGAAUAUAGGCUUUGCCUUGAGCGAAACCUUGGUUGUGAAGGAGAUUUGGAAAAUCAAACUUCAGAAAACUCGACCUUUGAUUUACAAGGGAUGUUGUUAGACAGUACAAAAAUAAAUGAAUCUUCAGGGAAAAAUGAUUUGUCAUCUGAAUUUGAAAAAACCACUGAAGACCAAUUCGAAGAUAUUGAAUUUCAAGGCCUGGGUGGAAUGUCCCUUGAAACUCAAAAAUACAUUCUUCAUUUGCAGUCUCGUCUAACUUCAAUGAAAAAGGUAUGUAUAGCAUUUUGUGGAGCCUUUUCUGGUCCUUCUAUUUAUUUCUUUGAAUCCAUAAAUUGUUUAUUUUGAAACAAUGACUGGAGAAAACAGUACCUUUAGGUUUUAUGUGUGAGUUUGAUAAUAAUAAACACAUUAUAGUUUGCAUCAUGAUGAAGCAUUCCAAAGAUGCUAGAAAGGCCUAAAAGAUGCUGUUGUCUCAUGCCCAAAUGUGGACCUUUCUCUCUCUGUCUCUCUCUCUCUCAUCCUUUUUAGUUUUUUUUUUUUGGCUGACUUGAUAUCCAUGUUACAAUACAUAGGUAACAUUCUCCUUUGAAAGCCUAUUAAGCCAACUUGCAAUGCCAUACAUUCUGAGUUGUUGAUAUCAAAAGCAUUAUGAGAGAAUUUAGAUACUUUCGAGGCACAGGAACUAUCUUGAAAUAGUUAUAGUUAUCUUGUUACACAUGCAUCUGAUCAACUUGAAUACAUCAAUCGAUGGAAAACAUUUGAGGGAACCGAAAACUAAACUCUUAAGGAAAUUAAAAAUUUGUCUUUCCUCCAACAUCACUAUCAUAGUUGUAUAUUUUGAGUGUUAAUCUUCAUAAAAGAAUUGGCCUGCUAUGAAAAUUUUUGGCUUUGCAAAAUCUACUUUCCAUGAGAGGAAUGUUCCAUGGUUGCUAAGGAUCAUGUAUUAAGGGUUGCAUCAUUCUAUAUCAAAAGAAUGAACCUUCUCAAAUUGGUGAACAUCUCAUUUUCCUUUUUAUUUAUCUGUACUUGAGGUAUAUUUUUGCUUUUCAAUUUUGGCAAUUCCUUAUAUGCAAUUUGGUUAGAGACAUGCUCAUAUUUCCCUUUUUUUCUCUAUUGAAGGAACUUCAUGAAGUCAAGAGGAAAAAUGCUGCUUUGCAGAUGCAACAGUUUGUUGGGGAAGAAAAGAAUGAUUUACUUGACUACUUAAGAUCACUUCAACCAGAAAAGGUUUCCCUUGAUCUCAAAAAUUUUCUAAAGCAAAUUGACUAUUAAUAUGCCAUUAACACGAUGCUAUGAAUGCAACAUCUUCUUAUGAUCACACAAUUUAAGUUCUUUGCUUUUCUCCAUUAAUUUGAAGGGAAGAUUGAAAUGAUAAAAGAAGAUCAUUUUUUGCCUUUUCACUUGUUUAGGGAUGAGGUACAGCUUUUGGUUUAAAGUAAUACCUCUGCUUACUGCAAAUUGCUAGCACAUAGCAAUUUUACUUAAAUGGAUAUUUCUGGGCUUUUCUCGUAUAAAUACUCUUCCAUGGAUCAUUUAUUUUUUUUCUUUAGCAGUGAACUUCAGUCAAAUCCUACACUGUCUCAUGGCUAAUAAAAUUGCAACAUGAAUUUCAGGUAGCUGAGCUUUCUGAACCAACAUCCCCUGAAUUGAAAGAAACAAUCCACUCUGUAGUCCAUGGUCUCCUUGCCACCCUUUCUCCAAGGAUGCAUUCCAAGGUUCCUCCUUUUUCAGAGGACACAUCACCUGGAACGGUAAAUAUUGGGAGUGAAGAUUGUGCUGAACUUGUUGAGAAUACUUCAUUGCAGUUCCAGCCCUUUAUUUCAUUAACGCGGGACUACCUUGCUCGUCUUCUCUUCUGGUUAGAUUAACUCCCCUCUCCCUCUCUCUCAUUUAUUUCAUUAAUGCGGGACUACCCAAGAGUUUUGUGUAUAAUUUUUUUUAUGCUUUAAUAUUUAAAAUAAAAUCUGGUUUCUGGUGUCCAAGAAUCCAUUUUUUAACAGGAAAUCUGGGUUGUUCUGCGUUUAUUGCUCAUUAUAUAUAGUUGGAUCCUGUUUAAAUUUGAAUUUAAUAUUGUAUUUGAUCUAUAGGCUUUGGAAGAAUGAAAUUGAUCACAUGUGGAUAUGGAGAUCUGAGAGAUGUUCUGCAUGUUUUAACUCCGAAUAAGCUUUAGUCACUUUCCAAACAUACAAUGGGAUUUACAUGUCUGCAUCCUAUGAUAUGAUUAUUUAAAUAUGGCUAAUAUAGCAAGUUCUGAUAUAGUCAUUUUUUCCCUGAAGGUGUCUGCUGUUGGGGCAUUAUCUUAGAGGCCUCGAAUAUCGGAUGGAGCUGAUGGAACUUCUAUCCUUGACAAGCAGUCCCGGAAAUAAUGGCUGUGGUGAUGAGCAGGUUGUUUAGUGUUGCUCCUUUGCGAGGGCUUCCAUCUGUAUAUAGAAGUGUAAAUUGGCAGGCAACUAACUUCGUUUUCAGGAAGAGGCAGGAAGUGAACAAGAUUAGGCCCUAUACUCUCUUACAGAUGGAGAGUUCUUUGAUGUAUAAAAGGAUACUUUGUUUUUGUUCAUGUUGAGUGCAUUUCGGUGGUGGUGUUAUUUUUUUUUUUUUUUAAAUUCUAUCUUGUUCGUGUUAUUAUGCAAAAGUUCUUGGUAUCUCACUUUAUCUUGCUGCAAGUAGAGAGAUUGCUUGAACCAUCUUGAAGGAGAUGGCUGCCACUGCCAUAGUCUAGGGGUUUAAAUAUAGUAGUUUAAAUCUACAGCUAAUGGUGGUAUAGAAAUAGUUGUAAUUUUGUGAAGGAAUAUAAGGUCAGAAAAUGCAGUAUUCGCGUCUAUCCCGCCAUGCGACUCUGGGUAAUAGUUUGAAGUACGACUGAACAAUAUUAUGAGUUGAGAAUGACUUUCAAACCUGACAACAUGUUAGUACUCAGAAGCAGGAAGAUUUUCGCGCGCAAUCUUGGGCUGCCGACGGUACAAUUAUCGGCGUACCCUUUGCUCGUCUACCGAAUUUUCUCGUAUAUGAAUGUUUUCAAGAUGGAAUUUCCGUCGUCAAUCUCUAGUGUCUUCAGCUAUGCUCCGAUCAUGCCAACAAUUUUCGGCCGCCUUCAGAUACUUCACUCUUAGCCCUUCAUCCAUCUUUGCUGUUGAGUUUCUUCAUUCGCUGUCUUCCACUUCAUCAUCCUCUAACUUCCACAAUCUAUCCCUUUUAUUGCAAGGUCGUAUUUUACAUUCUCAUCUCCGCCAAAUCCAUGCCCGUAUCUUUAGGCUCAAUGCCCAUCAAGACAACCUGGUAGCAACUCGUCUCAUUGGACACUACCCAUCUUCAUUCGCUCUUCGUGUAUUUAACCAACUUCACAAUCCCAAUAUCUUCCCUUUCAAUGCCAUUAUCAGAGUCUUAGCUGAAAAUGGUCUCUUCUUCCUUGCAUGUUCAUUCUUCAACAACUUAAUACAACGCUCUCUUUCUCCUAAUGAUCUCACCUUUUCUUUCCUUCUAAAGGCAUGUUUUCUAUCCAAUGAUGCCCAAUAUGUAAAUCAAAUUCAUACCUACAUCAUAAAACUGGGUUACCUUUGUGAUCCUACUGUCUGUAAUGGUCUUCUUUCAGUUUAUGCCCAAGGGUUUAAAGAUGUGGCUUCUGCACACAAGUUGUUUGAUGAAAUGCCGGAGAAAGGAUCAGUUACUCCUUGGACUAACUUAAUUGCAGGUUACGCACGAUCCGGUCGGAAUGAGGAAGUUUUGCGUCUUUUUUGUUCAAUGAUUGAGAAGAAUUUGCGGCCUGAAAAUGAUACCAUGGUUAGUGUUUUAUCAGCAUGUUCUAGUGCUGAGAUCUUUGAUAUUGAGAAAUGGGUAACGAUACUCUCAGAAAUCAUUCACAACUCUGAUAAUAAAAUACCAAAUCGUGAUUCAGUUAAUAUAGCUCUCAUUUACUUAUAUGGUAGGUUGGAAAAUGUUGAGAAAAGUAGGGAAAGAUUUAAUGAGAUAUAUGCUAUUGGAAAAAUGAGUGUUAUCCCCUGGAAUGCUAUGAUUGGGGCAUAUGUUCAAAAUGGUUGCCCCAUGGAAGCUCUGAGUCUCUUCCAUUUAAUGAUGGAGGAUUCUAAUUGUAGACCUAACCAUGUUACAAUGGUUAGCGUGCUUUCAGCUUGUGCUCAAAUGGGUGAUUUAGAUCUUGGAAAGUGGGUUCAUCAGUACCUGGAAUAUAACGGACGCAAAGGGGUUUUAGAAACCAACACAUUUCUAGCCACUGCGUUAAUAGACAUGUAUUCUAAAUGUGGGGAUCUGGAGAUGGCAAAACGGGUUUUUGAUCAGAUGAUCUCUAAGGAUGUUGUCUCGUUCAAUGCCAUGAUCAUGGGUCUUGCAAUGAAUGGUGAAGGUGAGGAAGCUGUUAGUCUUUUAUCCAAAGUGCAUGAGCUUGGUUUGCAUCCCAAUGCUGGAACAUUCCUUGGCCUUCUAUGUGCAUGUAGUCACUGCGGUUUGUCAGAGGAAGGAAGACAAAUAUUUCUAGAAAUGAACUCACGGUUUUCUGUUCAUCCUAGAUUGGAACAUUAUGCUUGUUAUAUCGAUAUUCUUGCCAGAGUUGGCCUUGUUGAAGCAGCUCUCACGGUUGUUGAUUCCAUGCCUUAUGAGCCUAAUAACUUUGUCUGGGGGGCUUUGCUUGGAGGUUGUGUGCUCCACUCUAGAGCAGACUUGGCCCAAAAGGUGUACAAAAAGCUUGUUGAAGUUGACCCUCAGAAUUCGGGGGGCUAUGUGAUGUUGGCAAAUACAUUAGCAGUUGAUCAUCGAUGGAAUGAUGUUUCAGUGCUGAGAUGGUUAAUGAGGGAGAAGGGGGUAAAGAAGCAGCCAGGGCACAGCUGGAUCAGCAUUGAUGGGGUCGUACAUGAGUUUCUUGCAGGGUCGCCAUCCCAUCCCAAAAUGGAGAGCAUAUAUCAUACGUUAAAUGGAUUGGUCAAUGUAAUGAAGGUAACGAGUCCUUAGAAAAUACUUUUCGAGAAAAUAUAUAUAUAAAACGAGUCCUUAGAAAAUACAUGCAGCAGCCAUGAAUAGAAUUCUUGGCUUCCUUUUUUCAGAUGGAGCUCUGAUGGCUGUCUUGAGCAGUUCCAUCUAAAAUGUAUAUUGCAUUCUUGACUUUAUUCGAAUUAAAAUAUUUCUUUCUUCCAGCAAUCUCACUUUCUACUUUCUUAUUGAAGUUGAGAUAAUCGGUCAUCACACCACCGCCGUGAACUUUCAUUCCCUUAAGGCUGGCAGGCUACCACUAUGUUGUUUUCCAAGCUUACUGCUUGCUUUUUCAUUAUCAUGAAACAUCGACACCACCGCUAGCUAGAAAUCUUUUUUGUUUAGUCAAAAUUUCAUUGAUGAAAUUGCAUGUGAUACAGCCAGACAAUUGGCUACGCUGGCUGAUAGUAUCUUAAUAGUUUGUGUAAACUAAUAAAGAAAAGUCUAUUGAAUCUUAGGAUAACCGUUACAAUCCUUUUGUACCGAAUUUCAUAUUUCAAAGGGACAUAAAUUAUCAUUUAUCACGCCUUAAACUAGUUUUUGUUUUCAUUUGCUUAAUUAUUUUGCUAACACUCCCAUCUUACUUUUUGUCAUUUUUCUUUUAUUCUAAUCGAAAGUUCCUUCUAAACAUAUCCAACUUCUUUUACACACUUGUAAGAGCUUUAAAAAUGGACAUAUAAUAAGGGAAAAGAAGAAAGUGUAGAGUUUAUUAGCGUUACCCUUCUAACAAAAGACAAAAGGUUGCCACUUUGCUAAUCUUUCUUUGAACAUUUUGGUCACCAGUUUUUAUGUGCUGGCUUUUCUCAGACUUGAGCCAAGAAUCACUAAAAGGGAGUUUGCCUACUUUGCAAUUCAAUACUUGGUCUCCAUGCUACGUUUUUUCAAAAAGAAUAAGUAUGUCUUCUCAAAAUUUAUCUUAAAUCCUGAUAUCAUCUCAAAUGCUAACAAAAUCUUACAUGCGCCGUAAAAAAAUGAUGGUGUUGUCUAUAACUUGAAGAUGAGAUAAUGUCUACCCUCUUUGUGCUACCUUAAUACUCUAAAAUACCCAUUUCCUCUCACUAGUAACAAGUGCAACACCUUGCUGAUCAUAAUAAAGAGGAGUAGUGACAACAACGAAUCACCUUGCCUCAAACCUCUACUCAUAAUGAUCUCCUCUAUUGACUAACACCAAAACAUGUGUUGUGGAGAUGCAUCGAUGAUAUUCAUUAACACCGAAACACGUGCCGUCAAGGGCUUUCAAUUGUGCCAUUGAGGGAAAAAAGUUGAGUCGGACUGCUUGUUGUUCGCACUACAUGCCCUUCUAGCCCAAAGUUUUGUCUAUAGGCUGCAAUGCUAACAAGCCCAUCUUCAUUUGGGUUCAAUGACUUCUCAUUAGUGUUGUGGCAACGGCAAGAUUUCACAACAGGAUAUAUUGAGUAAAAUUUAAAAAGUUUUUUCAAAACAUUUCAAAAUGACACUUCGAUUAUUUUUGUUUCAAAUGAUAUUUUUGGUUACUGUUAGUCAACAUUAAAAAAAUUUAUAGUCUCUUAAAAAAAACUGCUCAUGUUACUUUUCAAAAUUUAAUAAAAUUCAAUAUGUGACAAAGAAAAGAAAAAACUUAAAACUUAAGAAAAUUCUAAAUUAUGAUUUCUGAAUGCAGUAGUUUGUCUCACUUUGAUACUUAAUAAAAUUUAAUAUUUUGACAAAGAUGAAAAAAUUUAAAAACUUUUUUUAUAUAGUAAUCAAGUCAAAACCUUUUCAUAUAACCCUAAACUUGAGUCUCAAGGAACAAAUUUUAAGUAAAAAUUUUUCAACAAAAUUAGUAAUAGUGAGUAAGAAAUUAAUCUUUUAGCCCGACACCAUCAAAUUUGAAAUAUCCAUCAUUAAACAAAAGAUUUACUUUUAAUAUUUUUUUUCAAUGAAAAAAAAUUCUCAAACUACUAAAGAAAUAAAGAGUUUGAUGACAAUAGACUUUUGUCAAGAUAGAAGUUUAUGGUUUUUGAGGAAAGUACAACUUCAAAUUUCCAGGUCUUCUAAUCAAUCAUAAUUUGUUAGUUUUUUUUUAUUAAGGUUUUUGAAGGAACAAUGAGCAAUUUUUUUAAAAAAGCGAAUAUAUUUAAAUUAAAAAAUUAAUAUAAAUGGUGUUUAUGUCUUAAAAAAUAUUUAUAUAAUACUAGGUCUAAUUUUUUUUAACGGUUAACUAAGGGUAUUAACAAUUUAGAGACCAAAAAUAUCAUUUUAAAACAAAAGCAACCAAUAUAUCUUUAACAUCAUUUUGAAGUGUUUUAAAGGAUUUUUUUUUUUAUUUUACCCAGUAUAUGUAUUAGUCAGUCCCACCGUAGGAAUCGGCCUGCGAAAUAAAUAGAUAAAUAGAUGUAUUCUAUAUAUCUUCUACUAACAAGGAAAAAAUAGAAAAAUAGUAAACUAUAAUAUUUCAAAACAUUAAUUAAUUAAUUAAUAUUGUAUAAUGUUUUAAAACUGAUCCUUACGUUAUUCAAAAUCCUAGACAGAUAAUUUAUGCCCCAUUGCUGGGAAUCUUGUUCAUCCUUGUGCAACCAUAUCAAAAUUAAUUUGCGUCAGUUUUCUCCCUAAAAUCUUGCCCACUUAAUGAGUUUUAAGCUGUCGAUAUUUGGUGAAAUAAUGAUUAAUUAAUCAUGAAUAGCAAAAUUGAAGGAUUGAAGGCACGAAAUUGUUUGAAUAUAUAGAGUUAAUGUAGAAAAGAAAAAAUAUAUAUAUAUUUGAAGUCAAAAGAUUAAUUAACAUUAAUUGAGAUGUUUCCUUGUUUGAUACAAACACUCCUUCUUCUUUCUCUCUAUACUCUCUACAUAAAAACCCUUUUGUUUCCCAAGCUCCAACCGGUCAUACACUUUAAAACCCUACCGGGCGAAACAACUCUCUUCUCUUUUGUGUUUCCUCCGCCAUGGAGAGAAGAGACAAUGAAGAUAUUCGCUGGCCGUUCAUCGCCGACUCCCCCUUGCAAAACCACCUACUUGUUCCCUCCCAAAACUAUCGUUUUCGAAUCAAUGGCUCCCAUGUUCCUUCUAACCCAAAUUUUCAAAACCCUGAUCUUGUUCAAAACCCUAGCCUUGCACAAAGAUAUUCCACAACCCAAUCCCUUCCACAAGCUUCCGAACGAAGCCAUGAAUGCGGCCUCGAGAAUUCUUUUGGUCGAUUGAAUCUGAAUGUGCCUUGCAAUAACCAUUCCCAGCUUCAUGAUGUCAAUGUUUAUUUAUAUAAAAUGAGGAUCGAUUCUGCUGUAAGGGGACAAAUAGGGAUGUUUCAUGAGAGGUUUGUUGGCCAUUCAAACUCAACGAGUUUGAAUGCAGGUCAAGAUUUGGUGGGAGGUGGAGCCAUCAGUCGAUCUGCAACUUUUCCCAGUACUCCUAUCGGCAAUCAUGACUUCAACAACUCACAACGUAGGAGUCAGUCUUUGGAUGAAUUGGCAUCCGCAUGUCCACGUAGACUGAUCAACAACCCUGAUCGUCAAUACCGGGGUAACGCAUGGGCUCAAAACUCUUCCUCUUUGCUGUCUUCUUCCAUGUAUAAUCAUCGUCCAGUUGUUUAUCCCCACCAGCGUAUGAAUUAUUCCUCAUUGAAGGAAUUAAAAGGACGGAUUUGUUCGGUGGCCAGAGAUCAGCACGGUUGCCGUUUCCUGCAGAAGAAAUUUGAUCUUCAAAUCAUAACGAGUGAGGAGAUUGAGAUGAUUUUAUUGGAGGUGAAACUUGAGUUGCAUGACUUGAUGGUUCACCAGUUCGCUAAUUACCUGAUUCAGAAAGUUUUCGAAGCAGGCACCCAGGAACAAAGGACUGAGCUGCUUCUCGUGUUCGUCAGUAGCGAACAAAGAUUCGUGCAUGUUUGCACUGAUGUGCACGGGUAAGUAAGAAUAAUAUUAGUUUGUCAGUUUUUGAUUGUAUAGAAUUUUUUCCAUUUGUUUUUCCUGACUUGUCAUUCGAAUAUUUCAGCACUCGGGUGGUUCAGAAAUUCAUGGAGCGUGUCUCCACUCCAGAACAAAGAUCUAUUCUUCUGUCAGUGUUGAAGCCCAUUGCUGUCACCUUGACCAUCAACCUCCAUGGUCAUCAUAUCAUUGAACAGUGCUUGAAUAAAUUCUCAAAUGAAGAUACAAAGGUAAAAUACUACUAAAAAUUACCUCAUCUUUAUAUAUCCCGGACGUGGUUCUGGUGUGAAUAUAUACAUAUACUUACUUGUGUGCUUAAUUAAUUCCAUUUACUGAUCUUACGUACUGAUAUAUUCCAUGUAGGAGGGGCGUCCUAGAACAGUUUAUAAUAUAUAGUAUCGUAUAUUUUGAAUGCCUUUUGAUUUGUUUCAAUCAUAUACAAGAAGGAACUUCGCUAUGGCAUUGUAUAGUAUAACUGCUGCUAUAAUAUUAGCUUAUCUCUUAUUUCCUUCUCAUGGGAGAACUUUAAAGGCAGUAUCUUAUGAGGUUUUACUUCAAUGUUAGCAAAGGGGGUGGAGCUUGGAAAUAUUACUAUGUAAAUAUAUUGAUGGUGGACAUGCAAGAGAGGUAUUUAUUAUCAAAGUGUCUGCAACAAACUGCCCGGCCCUUAGUUUGUAUUUAUGGUGACAAUUGUACGUAUUCUCAAGUCAAGAACCAUUCCAUUGUUAUUCUCAAAGUCAACAUUUUUGGGGGUAAAAGUUGUUUUUUUGUAGCUUUUACACAAUUUAAAUGAGUCUGAGCAAAAAUUGGUGCAUGAGCAACCUGUGUCUUUGCAUGACUUUUUAUUUAGUAUAAAAACAAUUAAUGAAAGCAAAAGAUAAACAGGACAUGUAUGUCUUAAAUCAUAAUAAGGUUUUCAUGGGUACUGUUAAGCGUUAAUUAGCUGAAGGAUUUUAUGCAUAGAUUUCUGAACAAGCAUCUUUCUUUGGCAGCGCCUUGUGUAUGAAAUUGUAGAACACUGUCUUGACAUUGCAACUGACAAAAGUGGCUGUUGUGUAUUGCAACAAUGCUUGGCACAUGCCAAAGCAGAAGCCAGGGAGCGUUUGCUGGCUGAAAUUACUGCAAAUGCCUUCGUUCUUUCUGAGCAUCCUUACGGGUUUGUUUUGCUAAAUCUUCUUCUUAUUUAAAGUACGCAGCAUAUGAAUAAGAAACGUAUUCCUUCUGUCUCGGCUAUGAAGUGUAAUUAAUAAGUCAUAAUAUCAACAUUUUGGAUGAUUUAUAUAAUAUAUAUGGUUAAUAUCAUAUCUACUUGUGUAUUUUUAUUUCAUAGCAACAGUAAUGAGAUUUAUAUACUAAGUACUAUUUAUAUUUAUAUUUUCCAGGAACUAUGUCGUGCAAUAUGUACUUGGAAUGAAGGUACCCCAUGUGACAUCAAAUCUGAUAGAGCAGCUUCGAGGGUGUUAUGUUACUCUUUCCAUGAAUAAGUAUGGCAGCAAUGUGGUUGAGAAAUGUUUGAAAGAUGCUGGAGAAGAGCAUUCUGCCAGGAUUAUCACAGAGAUUAUCCAUGAUCCAGACUUCUUAAAGGUUCUUCAGGAUCCCUUCGGGAACUAUGUUGUUCAAUCAGCCUUGAAUGUUUCUAAGGUCACCUUUUCAAUCAUCACUUCUUGAUUUAAUUUUCAUAUGCAUACUUGCACUUAGAGCAAUUGAGUUUUGAGAAGACUAAAACUCAAAUAAUGGGUAUAUAUGUUAAUUCUUUUUAAUUAUUGAGGAGCUCUUUGACCCUUUUUCUUUUGUUAAAAGCAGGGAGAUCUCCACAAUACUCUUGUUCAAUUCAUCCAACAUCACUAUCCCUUUCUCCACAGCCAUCUGUUUGGGAAAAAGGUGUUGGCCCGAACCAAAGAGCGGAAGAACCGUGUAUAAGUAGCAUUGUACGCUGUAAGGAUAAGCUAAAGAAACAAGUAAAAACUGCUUCUAGUGUCUCCAUCUCGCACUCGGCUGCGUCUUCAGCAGUGGCACCUGGGCUUCUGUCAUGACAAUGUUGUCACUUGUUAGGAUUUCUAGUUUUGGAAACUAAUAAAAACCAAUUGAUACAAUUUGUUUUUAGGAUGCUUUAGUCGUCGGUCGUUGUUGUCUGCGUACUGUCUGUCGUUUCGGUUUAGGGUGGGUGAGCACCAGGUAUACUAGAAACAGGUACUGUAUUAAUUUCCUAUCCAGGCACUGACAUUGUUUUAUGGUGCUCCCUUAGUUUGUUGCUUGUUAUAUAUUAUCUUUUGUCUGUGAAUCUAUUCCAACGUGCAUGAUUUUAGUAAUCAGAUUUUUGUUUCCUGUCCCUCUGUCUAUAUAUUGCUACGGUGAAGCCACCAUGGUACCCUUAAUAAUCAAGAUUUUCCUACAUUUGGAAAAUUAUUAUAUUUUCACAAAGCUGUAAUACUGGAAUAAAAUUUUGGAAAAUUAAAUUUUAAUUCCCCCAUUAAGCCAGUCGAUUGCUGGAUCUUGUUCGAAAAAAUUUUGAGCUAAGGACAUCAUCAGUUCAUCACAUGAACAUGAAGGUUCGUAGAAGCAGAAUUACGCAGUACACAAUCUAUCAAUUUUUCAUCAUUGUCACAAUCGCAAGAAAGAGUAGAAACACAAAAUGUUUAUAGAGAAACCAAAAUAACUGUUUUACCAAAAACUUUUACUGCCUAAAGUAUUAUCCUAAUUAUGGAGACGAACUUAAGCAAGUGCUUGAUGCUUUGAUGCCACCAUGUUACCACCCAAAGGGAUGUUGUGAUGUAAACCAAAAACAAAGAAAAUAUUUCCUUUGUAAAAACAUAGAUCAUAGGACAAAAUAACAACAAAACUCCAUCAAAAAUUUUAAUGUAAUGUAAAGCAAAUGACUGUCAUUUGCUUAUAGUAGUAGUAGGUGGAAUGAUAAUGAAUCCUAUUCACUUCCACUGAAACAUAUAUAGAAGCUUACAAAUCCUCACACGCUGUUCAAUCUGAAUCGGAUGAGUCUGCAUUUGAGCUCUGCCGGACACUCCUCUUGGUCUGUGCACCAGACUUUGAUGCAUGUAUAGAUGAUUCACCUUCAGAAAAGAUGACUUGAGCUUUACCCAACCUCUCCUCCAAAUCUUCUGUGGCAAACUCGUCUGUCCCACCAAGCUCAUCAAAUCCAACCUGAAAAAGAUACACACAUCAAGACAGAGGGAACUAUUACCAACAGAAAAAAAGAAACAUAAUUCAAUUCAAAUGUUACGCGUAUAUACUUUGAUGUUCGAAGAUAACAUUACAUACCACAUAAUCAUCCACUUUGGCAUUUUUGAUAAGGGCAAGUGUAGGAAGAACAACAAUCUUCAGCCUCUCGGCCAAGAAUGGGCUUUUCUCGGCAUGGAUUUUUACGAAACGCGUCUCCAUAUGCUGCUUUGCCAAUAUACUCAAAUGCUUGUCCAUCACCUGCAAUUGAACUCCAAACAUAAGUCGUUUGAUUCAAGUUCAAAAUACAUUUCAAAGUUCAACAGAACCCCAGAUUAAUCAAAAUUGUAACUUUGGCUAAUUGCUUUUCGCUUAUCGCUUUUCGCUUUUUACCUUUUCUUCUUUGUUUCAACAAUUUCAGCUUGUCAAAGUAAAUGUAUUCUUUAGCACUUUAAGGGCAAUAAGGAUUUUAAGAAUUACAAAUUAAUUUUUAUUCUUGCUUGUUAACUUUUCAGUAUUAGAAAUUUAAACAAAAGCGAGUACCUUGCAGGGCCAAUUCUCGCGAUAGAAGUGGCAAACAACGCGCUCACUAGCUUUAACAAUUGAAAAGAAGUCCUUUUCAGCGGGAAUCUCUGAGUACUCUCCGUGGCCUAGACCGAUCCAACGGCUCCGCUUCUCCGCCAUCUUCUUCAUUUGCUGCAACCUCCGUUCUCUGAUGGCGUCCAGAUCGUCGCUGUCGAGGCGAUCCAUCGCCGCGAUCUCUUCAUCGAUCUUUUCCUCGACGGCCUUCGCCACCGUCAGCACCUGCUUCUCCAGGAUCUGGACAGGAACAACAAAGCAUUGAAUUUAGAAGACAAAUUAAAGAUUCACACGUGCGAAGGCUUAGGGGAAUGUGUUGAUGUUACCUCUUGAACCUUCGGAUUUUCCAUUGUUGGAUUAAAAGAUCUCUUUGUCUCUCCCUCUUCGCUGGAAUUUCAAAAUCGAAAUGAAUUUGGAAAGUGGAGAGUAAGUGAGAGACGGGGAUAACUUUCCGCUUCGGGGUUCAGAAUAUACUGCAUAAAAUGGUGAAAGAGACGACGCCGUUUGUUGAGAAAAUUGGGCCAAAGAGAGUAAUAUAUGAGCCUAUGGGCCGAUUGGUGAUUCUGUAAAGAGGUCGUACUUCUAUUGGCGGAAUGGAAUAGUCUUUCAGGGAGAUAGAGGAUUAGUUAAUAACAAUGCCUGUUGGUAUUGGCUAUUUCAAGAGACCAUAAAUAGAACAAAAAUAUUAAUAGAUAAAAAUAUCUUUUGUUAAUUUAAAGAAUUACCAUAUUAUAUAAAAUGCAUUUUAUUCAUCUUUUACAAUCUCUUUUUUUCUAUCCAACUAUCUCUCUCCUUCUCUCAUUAAAUUAAAAUGAAUUUGAAAUAAAAAGGUUUAAGUUUUAAUUAAUAUUUUAAACUUAAAAAUUAAAUUAAAAUUUUAAUUAUAAAUUUAUUUAUAUUUUGAUAUUUUAAAAAUAAAUAACAAAAUAAUAAAAUUAAUGUUGUAACUAUAAAUAUUUUAAUUUAAAAAUUAAAAAUUAUAAUAAAUUAUAUUUUUAUUAUUUAUUACUUAUUCUUUAAUUAUUUUUAAAAUUAUUCCUACCAACUAAAUAUUAAAAUAGUUCAUAAUAACAAUUGUUGCUUUAUUUCAUUCUCAUAAACUAAACUACAUAAUACUUAUUUUAUUUUUAUGAAAUAAAUAUUCUAUCCUCAUUUUAUUUUUUCAUGUGAAUCAAACACACCCUAAUAGCAUGUUUGGUUGGCCAUUCCCCCUUUAUUCUCAAUGAAUUUUGAUUCCUUUUUCUUUUCUUUUUUUCAGUGUCAAACCAAUGACACUAAAUUUUGAUUCCUUUGUUUGGUUGAAAAAUAGUCCAAGGAAUAGCUAUUUCAUAGGAAUGGCUAUUUUUCAAAAUCCUUCAAAACCAAGGAAUAGCUAAUACCACCCUCUCCUAUGGUAUUAGCUAUUCCAUGGUUGAGGAAUAAAUUCAAAAAUUAAUAAAGAUAAAAAUACCCCCUACAAGUUUAAAAAAUUACAACUUCAUUUGUGUAAAAUAUUAUUUUUCUCUCUCUCCUCUUUCUCUCACUUGAUUCCAACUUUCAAUAAAAUAUUAAUAUUUUAAAAUAUAAUAUUAAAAUUAUUAAAUACACAUAUUAAUAUUUAAAUUAUCAAUUAUUAAUAAAAAAAAUUAUAAAUUAUUCCUAUUUAAAAACAAAAUAAAUUAAAAAUAAAAUAAAAUAAUAUCAUUUAAAUUAGAUAAACAAUAUUAAUAAUUAAAUCAUCAAUUAUUAAUAUUUAAAUAAAUUACCAAUUAUUAAUAUUUAAAAAAUAAAAUAAAAAAUUAAUCAUAAUAAAAUUUAAAUUAAAUAAAAUAUUAAUAUUUAAAUUAUCUAUUAUUAANAUAAAUUAAUUUUUGACAAAUCUAAUAAAUUAAAUUAUAAAUAAAUAAUCAUAAUAUUGAAAUGAUCAAUUAUUGAUAUUUUAAAUAAAUUAUCAAUUAUUAAUAUUUUUUAAAAAAUAAAUAAAUAAAAUUAAUCAUAAUAAUAUUUAAAUUAAAAAAAUAUUAAUAUUUAAAUUAUUAAUUAUUAAUAUUUUAAUUAAAUUCUAGAUUAUUAAUUUUUAAAAAAUCUAAUAAAAAUAAAAUGUCAUAUAAAUAAUAAAAGGUGUUUUUGUCUUUUUAUUUUCUAUUCUUUUCUUAUUUCAAAAUUAUUGUUACCAACCAAACACUACAAUAAGUCAUAAUAAUUAUUCUUAUCCUAUUCCCUUUGUUAUACCAAAUUAAGUAAUAACUAUUCUAUUUUAUUCUCACCUCAUUCUAUUCUCGCAUAAUAACUAUUCUAUUCAAUUCCUAUCUAUUCCGCCAACUAAACGUACUAUAAAUAUCUUAAACUCGAUUUCUAUUGAGGGAAACCCAUCCAUGAGUGAGACAGGAAAAGUUUCAACGACUCGGCAUGGGGUUCAUCAGUCAUGUGGCUUCUGUGUUCUCUUAUAACUAGAAUUUUGGUAAGCUUAUCUAAUAAAACUCCUCCAUUUUGAUAUUCUAAUGAAAGCUAACACCAACAAAUAAAGAAGAUUGAAGGUUAAGGAUGGUAAUACCAACAUGUUUUAAUGUGAUGACACCAAAAAUUAAGGAUUAUUCAUUCCUUCAAUAUUGAAGUUUUCUCUUAAAAAAAAUGAUUACUGAGGUUACAGUAGUUGCAGAACCCAAAUGUAACAAAAGUGUUUUUCAUAUUUUCUUGAAAAGAAAAGUCUUCUCCAUGUACAUUAUGGAAGAAGCUUUACAUUUAAGUCCCUUUAACAGUCUAGGUUAAUUAAGGGCCCAUAGACUUGAAUUGAAGCCACUGCUCAAUGACCUCUAAGAAGAGCCAACAUGGAACCAUUGACAUUGAUUUUGAAAGAAGCAAUGGGAUUUAAUUUCCAACCAACUCAGCUCCAAGCACUUAGUAAGUGUUGUUUCCCUCCUCCAUUCACAGAUAACUGCAUUUCAAGAAUGCCUCGGAAGGGAGUUGGCAGGCAAGUUACUCACUUAUGAGAUUUAGUUUUUUUUUUUAAUUGAGAAAAGAGGAUUCAAAUUUUAUUAUUUAAAUGAAAAAUCAUAUACUAAUCAAUGAAUUAAAUACUCAUAUACGAUUAAUGAGAUUUGAUUGAUAAUGUGUCAUUGUCAAAAUUAAAUGAACAUUAGUUGUGGUUGAUCGAAAGUAUCAACAUAAACAAUAUGAUUGUCAAAGUAGAUGUUGUUGCCCCAAAGAUUUGUGGGUAGAAACGAUUGCAUAUCUCUUCAAGCUCUGAUGUUUGAUGUCAUAUUUUCUUUGCCAGGAAGCACAACCGUAACAGGUUCAAACUUCAAAGUAUUCCUUCUUAUUUCCAAAUAUCCUAACACAUUAUUUCCCCAUACAAUAUAAGCUGAAUUCUCUCCAUAUGGUUUCUAAAGCGUCAACGAUGAGUCUGAACGUAUUGACUCUAAAAUAUUACCACACCUCGGAAAAUGAUUGUACCAACCCCCCAAUAAUGCCAUAAGAAAAGCCACUGUGCAAGAGAAAUUAAUACGACUAUGAAUAAAUAAAUGACAAGAAACAAAUUCAAGGGGAACAAGAAAUAUUUUCUUAUUAUAAGCACAUGCAUAUAUGUCUUCCCGUACAAAUUACUACUGGAAGUUAACGCAUCUCUCUCUCUUUCUCACUCUUUUGCUCUAGCUAUGGAGCUCACUUCGGAUAAUUCAAUUACAGAUAUUGAAGGCCUGUUUGAACUUCAAGGGCACUUUGGCGUGCCCUUCUUGCUCUUCUUGUCCCUGUAGCAAGGGCACUCGUGCUUGUUUCCAUAAGUUCCUGAAGGCACGCACUUGCACUGCUCACAGCAUAACCCACAGUACUUAAUGCACCGAUCCCACACCGCUGCCUUCUUGCACCUAGCGUCGCACUUGCCCACGCAAAACGCUGCAACAACAAAAUUAACAAAAACAUCAGACACAUUUCGUACAUAGCAAAAAGGUUUAAGCAUGCAGAGAAAAACUGGAAAGUGUAAAGUUAGGAGGGAGUAAAUUGCUCACGUGACAGAGGCUGAGCCAUGGCUGGUUCCAAGAGUGAAGAACUCAGAAGAAGAGAGCAAACCAGCAAAGUUGCAAACAAGAGCUUCAUUUUUUAUGUUUUCUUAACUUUGAAUUUGACUCAGGUUAACUAUGUAGAAAAGUAAAGUGAUCAGUUUCAGGCGACAGUAGUGAAGUGUAGUGGUGCCUGAGAGUGAGAGCUGAGAGGGUAUUUAUAGUGAAGAAAAGGCAAGUAGGGCAGUGUAAAUUAGUGAGUGAGGUAAUAAAUAAUUUGCAACAGCUGGAAGGUUUUGGCGCAUUUUGAAGGGAAAGGCCGGUGAGAGGGGACAGUGAGCAGUGGGUUCAAGCACUUUCCACGCGGUUUCUGCAGCAGCGAAAAUGAAAGUUGCUUGGACCCUUUGUCCUUUUGCGCCAUCAAUCAGAAGGGUCCUGCCUCUGCCAUCUCUCUGGUGAACCUCGUUAAUGUUAAUGUAGUACUACGAACGAAUGAAUUAUGUGAUUCCACUGCAUUCAAGUCUUUUACCUGUCCACUUCCAUCAUCUAUUCCAUUAUGUGACAAUGUCUGAUGUUAGUAUGGUUUUUGGGUUUUGUCACGUGAGUUCACUGUCCAACCUUUCAAGACAAAAAGAGAAACCCAUUUUCUUCAGCUUUCAAGCCAAUGUAGCAUCCAGUCUAAUAAACUAGUAUUUUGUCAUGUCCUAAAACAGAAGGGAAAUUUAUGAAAAUACUUUUUCAGUGCGAGUACGACGAUGCUGUUCGAGGUGUUCUUUUCCCUUCAAAAACCGUCCCUACUUAGUUGAGAAUCUGUUUAUGGGUUAUACUACUACACACUCUUCCAAUUUUUUAAAUCCCAAACUCAGAACAACUUUUAAGCGCUGUGAUUGAGGAGCAAAUGACCGUUGACCUCCAUUGAGAGCUACUAUUUAAAAACUAUAGGAAAUAUUAUAACUUUAGGGUCAAAAAUAAUCAGAAAGAGUACGACUAUGUGAUGUGGAAAGUUUCACAUGAAUAGCUGAACUGCCCAAUCCUUGAAAAAUAUCCCUUGACUGUUCUCUUUCUAAUCUAAAGAAGAUGUGAUGCAAAAUUUCAAAUCAUCGCCUUUCAGCAGCGUAUGGCAUGUACAAAUUUAAAUGCUAAGGUUACGUCUGACUCUAAAGCGUGGCAAAUUAAACUUUUGUUUACAGAGGAAAAUCUCGUCUAACAUGCAUGAUUUAUAUGUUGAAGAAAAAUACAUCCAUAUAACUUUCAAGUAAAUGUCAUCAGUAAUCAUUAUCUAUCAUUACUAUUAACAGUUUGUAGCUAUUUAUCCAGCAAAAGAUUUUUUUUUUCUUAAAGAAAAAGUAAAAACAGAAAAUAAAAAAAAAAAAGAUUCAAAAAAUCCUAAACUUAAAGCAGCCCAGUACAACAACCGACUAAAAUAGGCCACAACCAUUACGUUGUCUCAAAUGUUUCUGAGUUACUGUUAUCACCACAGUAACAGAGAACAGGUUUAGUUCAUUUUAUAUUUCACAAUGCUUACAUUAAAUAUUUCAGAUAAACUAUAGGUGCUAACCUAUAUAAACUGUGUUUUCUCACCCAAUAGAAUAACAGCAUAACAUGAUAAGGAAAAGGGAGACAAUGCAGCUUUUUGUAUGUACAUAAAUUAACCUCCCAUACUAUUGGAUGGGCAAGAGCUCUGACCAGGGCAAGAUUCCUUGCUAAAGUCGGAAGAAGCCAGCAAAUUGACCUGGUAAUUGUACACCUUGGGGUUUCAGCAUCUUUGGAAGAUUGAGACACUCAGGAAUAUAAGGAAAAAAACAAGAUGUAAGAUAUAUACCUUGACAAUUUCAGACCUCGAGCUUGGUCGUGUAUAGGCAGCUAAGAUGCUCAUGUUGAAAGCCUGGGAACAAGGAUAGUUGAAAUUAAUAGAAGAAAAAUAAUGAUAAUAAUUGAAGUAGGUUCUACCAUGAGUGGAAACGCCAAGUUUGCAGAAGCACCUAAAAAAUUCCAUUAGAAGAUAUUACGAUAACCACUAAAUACAAUGGAUUUAGUUAUCACGGUCAAUCAGCUAUAUAUGAUUUGAUACGAAGGUUCAUUAAUGUAGGCAAUACUGCAGAAAACAGCCUGCUCUUAGCGUGUUCAGUUCUACCCACGUUAUAAAUGAUUUCUGAAAAACAUAGGUUCAUAAAACAAAGAACACAACAAAAGCAAGGUGAACACAUUAAACUGAUUUCUUGUUCAGUAUAUCAGAGGGCAUACACCUAGAUAUGUAACUCAUGUUUGACAACCAUACGAAACAAACAAUGGAACAAGGUCGGCCAAUAACAAGUAGCGCCACUAUUUGUGAAGGCUCCAUUUAACAGAGAUCAAAACAAAAAAAAAAAAAAAACUAAGGGGUAAAAAAUUAUUCGCAAAAAUUUUGAACCUAUCAAAACGCUGCUUUGAAUAGAGAAUUUAAAAUCACUAAUUUCCCAGGUAUGUACCUUUACUUACAAGGGGAAAAAGUAUCACCCGAAAAAUGUUAAACUCACCCUAAAGGGAUCCCCCCUCAGUGAUUGCACAAACAUUGAACUCCCCGAGGCUUUUCCCUGCAUAAAAUAAAUGCAUUAAUUUCCUUCUCUUUUUGGCAAUAUGCAGAUGAAUAACAUUAAAUAUAAUCAAAAAAUAGGAGAAGAAAUUCAGGAAGGAAAGGAUAUUGAGGGUUGUUUUAUCAGAAGCUAACUGCCAGGUAAGAAAUUGGAAAAAGAGAAUCCCAUUCUCACAUUCACUAAGUUUCUUUCCUCUCAUAUUUCUAUAUACUUGUUUCGGGGUAAUAAAUUGUGCUUACAAUUCUCUCUCCCUAAACCAAGUUCUUUCUUUAGUUCACAAACCAAUUUCUCUCUAAGCAGUGUCUUCUUUUCAUGACAACAGUCUGAAAAAAUUGUCAUAACUGCUUAACCUAUUUAUUCGUUUCUUGCAUUCCUUUCCUCAGCAGUCUUUUCACUUUUUUUUUUUUUGCAAUCUCUCGUUCCAUUUUUCAUUCCUUGCCUUAAUAAAAUGAUUUACUGGUACAGCUAAAUUUUAAAAACCAAACGACCCAAGUUAAAACCUAAAGGUUUUUUUUCCUAAAAGCUAUUCUGCUCAUUCCAAUCAUAUGCAAAUAUCCCCACAAACUGAACAUGUAUCAACAUUUAAGCAAGUUGGUUCUAUAUUUUCAGCAAUUUUUUAGUCCUUAACUCCAAACUUUAUGAAAAGCACAAAGUACAAAUAGCUAAAACCUUGUCACUACCAAAUCCUGCAUCCCCAUGAGAGGGAGACAGUGGAAUAGAUCCUGUCUUCAAUAUUCGUCCAUGCUAGGCAUGUGUGUCCAUACUCACUAAAUCAUUCUAUUUUGUAAGUCAGAGCACAUCAAUGUUGGACAUAAAAUGUGCAAAUUGAAAGACUCAUGUACCUCCAAAGAAAUAUCCCUGAGACGCCUUCCAGUUUGAGCACAGCAAACACGGACAACCUGUUCGUCACAGCUUCCACUUAUAAUAUAGUCCUUACCAUUCAUGUAGUAGGAACGAGUGUAAUUUUGUGAGCUUCCAGUAGAAGGUAUCUGAAAAUUCAGGUGAAGCCUUCCAUCAGCAGCCAGAAGCUGUCUAACCUGUCAAUGUCUAAAUGUUAAACCGAAGUCCAUACCAAUAUCAACUUUCUUUAAAGAUCAACGUAAAAGCUUCAAUAACAUUACAUAUAUCUGAGGACAAAAAAAAGUGGAGUAAAUAUUUACAAGUAUAAAACUUAAUGCAAAAUUUAAACAAGAGAAAGAAGAAGCAAGCCAACAUGACAUGAACAAAAAUGCCCAAAUGCAAUUAUAAGAAAAAGCACAUUUCAGUUGAGUUUUGCAACUCUUCACCAAAGAUUUAAAAAACUGAGAAAUACAAGUCUAGCACAUUUCAGAAAGUGGCAGCUAUAGCUUGAAUCCACAAUCUUGCACAAGUAACAUUCAGAACUGAAAUUGAAGAUAUGAGCAAAAAUUGAAAAACCAAACCCUUAAUAUGAAGAAAAUCAGCACUCUAUGCACCGAAAACUCUUCCACAAAAGCAGUUAAGUUGUACUAAGAAUUUCUAGCUAAAUCUAUUCUUAACCAAAUAGCAGUUUUAUAUCCAGACCCAUCCACUUAUUUUUGAGUCCGGAUCUUAGGGAACAGAUCUACUCAUAGGCCCAGUAUGAAACUAGAUGUCAAAAUACAUGGAACAAUAGUGGCACUAACACUCCAACUCAUGCUGUUAAUUAUAAUAAAAAUUACCUCAUUGUCAACAGCUGAGGCAAGAAUAUAGUGAUCAUCUGGAGAGAAGCAGACCAUCACAUUUCCUUUAGAACUUGAAGCAGUAUAGCAAGGCCUUAUUGGCUUCUGUCUCAAGUCCCACAUUUUAAUAUCCUGAUCAAAUGAUGACGUAGCGAAAAUUGAUGGGGAAUGGUUUGAAAACUUGACUACAUUAAUAUGUUCUUGGUGCAUAUCCGUGAACACCUGUAAGCGUCUUCCACUGUUGAUAUCAUACAGAGCAACAUUUUUUGAAUACCCACUUGCAAGAAAGAGUUCAUCCGUAGAGUUAACAUGAACAGAUGUUAAUUGGUCAAACUCAUCAAAGGUGACAGAACCAGUGCCACUAUGGAUGCGCUUGCAAGUUGAUGCACAAUGCUGGAUAUCAUACAGCUUCAGUGAGCCAUUAUCUGAACCAGCUAUGAGCUGAAUAAAAGAGGUAAAAAACCAAAUAAAAAACAACCACAUUUAUUGCCAUUAUUGAGGGAUUGAUAUUAGGAGAAUGGUUGAGUUCUCUAAAUGCGGUAAGUGUGAACUUUCUACUGAAACACUAAAAAAUUUCAAAAAGGAAAAAGGUAAUAGAGUUUAAUAGGGAAAGACAUUUAUUUAGAGAGCACUGCAAUUUAACCUCCUUUUAAAGUGCCUCAUGAGACUUACUCACCUUAGAAGGAUACUUCUUUAGCCAACAGAGCCCCAACACACUAUUCAUUGCCCCUAGUGAAGGGAUGUAACUAACAAUUUUCUCAUUUUCAUGGUUGACAACAACUACUUCACCAUCUAAAGUUCCAAAGACCAUCAGGCUGGAAUUAGAUGGAUGAUACUCAAACUGCCUUGGACGAAAGCUCCUUCUUUCAUCUCCCAAAUCAUUGCCUGAGAUAGAAAGUGAAUGCAGAAAUGGCCAAGGUGAAGAUCCCAUUUUGGCAGCACAAAGAGAUCUGGUAUAAAAAUACUGUGACUUCCCAGCAAGAUCCAACGGCCUUUGCUUCGGUGUCCGCAAGCUAGUGUGGCGUUCUCUUAUUUCACGCUUCUGCAAGAUACUAACAACACUUUCUUUACGAUACCUUCUAUAAGGUAGGUACUCAAAAUGUUUUAAAAAAGUCACAUUAGCCAUUUCCCUGUCAAUAUUUCUGAUAGGUAAAUUAUCCAAAACUCUCAACUGGGGUAUUGAUGCUAUCAUGUAUUCCCUAUAAUGUUUCUCAAAGCAUAUUGGAGAAGCAUGUUGGGAAAUGUACUUGAAUGAACCAUCUGCAACAUGCCUUGUGAAGGCACCUUCACAAGACUCAUCUCCAUUUUGAUUUGGCAAUGUAGCGGAGGAAACCUGUCAAAUAAAUUACAACAACAAAUAAGGACUAUUAAAACCAAGGCCCAGAAGGUGUUAGACAAGAUAAGGAGAACAUAUUAAUCCAAGUUCAAAGAACUUUCAUAGUCAAUUGAUUCAGUUAGGAAUUCAGAUUGAAAACCACAACUAUAUCCAAACAUGGCAUCCUCACCCAUUUCUCAGUCUACAGAAUUAGAUUGAACACCACAAAUAAAUCCUAACAUGUUAUCCUCCUCCAUUUCCCAAUCCACCUAAUAUUACAACAAGACAAUGAGAAAUGAAAAGGAAAUGCUAAUAACAAUCAUUAAUAACUUAACAAUAACUUCAAUUUAAAGAAUUUAACUGGCAUAUCAGAAAUAUACUUGCUGUGAAACAAAAUUACUUUUCCUUGAUACCAUCAUUAUAUUAUAAAAUAAACCAAUGAUAACUUCAUUUUUAGCCCCUAAUACCCAUAAUAUGCUAUUUACUGAAACAGCUCAAGACACUAGUGAUAAAAGGCCAUAGAUUCACCUCACUCAGAAGAUUGAUCUCUCUGCUCCAUCCAGGAGGUGCAUUUGAUGAUGAGUCCAUGUAACUAUCCUCUAGGUGAAUAGAAAAAUCUACUUCACUAUCAUCCGAUGACUCCUCAUUUGAGCUUUGAAAAUUAUGAUUCAUACUGAAUGCUUCUGGAAGAAAAGUUCUCGUUGCCUGUUGAGUGAUGGAGUUAAGUUCUAUAAGUAAGCCAACAUUAACGGAUGAUGUUACAGGGUAAGAUGCACUUCUUGGUUGACUGGGUCCAGUUUGGUCAUCUCCACUGGAUGAUCCAGAAGAUCCAACAUCAUUGCAGCAUAACCAAUUUUGAAACCUAAGUUCAACCAAAGAACGGAGUCUGGAAAGUGCUGCAAUUGUAGUCCAUAAGUUGGCAAUUCUGGUCUCACACAUCGAGAGACACAUUAGAUUGGGCAUGCAAGAAAAACAAUCCUCCCGGAAACUAGUGAGUGUAGUGCUAUAGUCAAGGUUAAGGGUGUGCAACCACAUGAAUUCCCCCACCAAGUUGAGCUUCCGGAAAUGUGAAGACCUCAAAUUCAGAACUUGGCAUUGUAGACCUCCUUGAGAAAGAUCCCUGAUUGUACAACUCAAAUUAGUUUAAAAAUCAAAGACACAUUUAACCAUUUAUUAACUUCACAAAUUUUUCUGGUAAAAACAAAGCAGCUACCUUAACAUGCAUUAUCUAGAAAGCACAAAGCACAGGAUGCAGUAAUUACAAAAGUGUACAAGAUAACUUAUGGAAUGAGAACUUAAGCAAUAGAGAGAGAAGAAUCCGAAUUCCGCGUAACAUUCAGGCAUCUCCGGAUUGUACAACAACAUACACUCAUUCAGGCUUCAGUUAUAAUUGAAAUACUGCCCAAAUAAAAGUUAGCAGAUCCUAAAAUGUGAAUCUUUGGAAGUAUCUCCGGAUUGUACAACAGCAUACACUUACUCAGGCUUCAGUUAUAAUAGAAACACUGCCAAACUAAAAGUUAGCAGAUCUUAAAAUGCGAAUGUUUGAAUUACUUCCAGUCCCUCUCAUUUGCUCAAGCUAACAGAGAAGAAAUCAUUAAUGAGACCGUUAAGCAUCCAACCUAAAAUCAAUUGGCCAUAGGUGGUGAGAGCCAAGCCAAAAAAGAGCCACAGCAAACUCUAAACUUAACCGAUGUGGGAUAAUAACACUUGACAGGGACAAAUCAAACUAAAAGCUCCAGCUGGUAGAGAUGGUGGAAUUCUUGAUACAUCAUCUACCAGAGGCUAACAGAAGCAAUCUGUGCAAUCAACCGUUUGCAAAAGGAAAACAGCUAGUAAAAAAGAGAAACCAAGAAAGAACAGUAAGUUUGCCUGUAACUUUGAUAAGAACAGUGAUAUGAGCUUUUAUGCAUCUACAACUUGCAUUUAUUUCAUAAUCAAAGGCCUCACAAUUAGAUGAUUCAUAUCUUUCAAACAUGCAUUGGAACCAUUUAAUGUAGUCAUUUAGGAUUUGUUCAUGAAAAGAAAUAUUACGCCUAAAGGAAUAAAUCGUUGCCAGUGAUUUUUUUUUUUUUAGGGAAGGGGGAUUCUAACCCAUACUCUUUAAGCAAAGAGAUCAUACAUUAAUCAAUGAGCCCAAUGCUAGUGAUGUUAGCACCUAAAGAAAUCAUUCAAGUACCAGCACAGCUAUAAUCUUAUUCACAUUGAGAUCGUAUAGCAAAUUUGCAAAUGAAUCAGCACUUAAAAGGUAAAAAAAGGAGAAGGAUAAAGAGAAAAAGAAGAAAAAAAAGAACCAAAUCUUUUCUAAAGCCAAAUUCACAAAAAUGAUAUCCCCGUCUAAGCCAAUCCAGAUAUAACUAAAUGACAACCAAUAUCCAUUUUUAGCUAAAUGACAACUAUAUGGUUCAAAUCUAGAGGGCAUUUUAACUUCUUGACAACAUUGACUUCUUUUUACAAAGAUCUGUACAUGCUUCUUCCAAAAGCAUUUGUAAUAUAACAGUGGGAUCAAGUACUCCAAUGAUGAAAUAAGUUUAUGUUAUAGUAGAUACAAAAUAAACUAGGACAUUAUAAUCAUUAAAAUUUUUUAAUCCAAGUAUGUUAAUAAUAUUUACUCAAUCUUACUCUUAACUAGCAUUAAAAGUUGUAGGUUUUUGAAAAACCAAAUCAUCUUAAAUCCUUUUAUUAUUCUUUUCAAGUCAUGUUGAUUAUUUCAUUGUUAUCUCCCCAGGCAACUAUAGAAUUCAAUGUAUAUUUACUACUAUAUUGAGAAAGAAUAAUGUAAUUAUCAAUCUCCUUGCCCCCGCUAGACAGUUGUUAUUUAGACAAAUGUCAAAUGAUUAUAUCACCUUCAGAAUAUUUAAUAAGCAAUAUAUAAAGGAAUUAAGUUAAGUUAUUAGAACUCACAGAAUAAAUUCAAAAUGAGAAUAAUACCCUCAUCUUAUUUAUCUAUUGUCACCCUCUUACACAUCGAAACACAUCAUACGUCUGAUGUCAGCAUAUUCUUUUCAAACAAAAACAUGAUAGUAUUGAAGUAUUUAAAAAUAAAAUAAGAGGUGAAUACCAAAAAUAAUAAAUUUCCAAAUAUUCUACUGCCACAUCAACUUAAAAACUAAACUUAAAUUGCCAUCAUAGCACCUGAUUACCUCUAUUUACACCUAAAAGAUUAUCAAAUCUUAUGUUAUGGAGGAAGGAGCAAGGAAAAAUGAAGUUUAAUCAGCAAUGUCAAUCAUUAGAUAUUUGGGUUACCAAAUCACAUCACACGUAUAAGGAAAAGCCCUUUUUUUUUACGUUUCUAUGCUUCUCUUUUCUACAGUGUGGCUUGUUUAGAUUUUGUGUUUGAGUUGAUGACAAGCAAUACUGAUACAAGUAAGUCAUCCUAAAAUCUGUCUUGAACUCUGUCUUGUGCAUCUGUAGGAGAAUAUUUCUUGGUUGUAGCUUGGUCUCUUCUGUUCUCUUUCAAGUUUCAACGCACUUAAAGUUUAGGUUCAGUUGAGUUUGUUCACAACACCAAACCACCCUUCACACCCCCUCCCCUUCAAAAACAAAAACAAAAACAAAAAAACAAAGAGCAUAAUGGUGAUUUUUGUGUGAUUAUGAUUAAGAGCUUACCGGUCAUUGAUUGUCAACCCUAAAAAUAAUGUGAACUCAUGGAGGUGGCUACAAUUAACAUUUUUGAAGAAAACAAGUAAUGGAGAAAUCAUAAGCUACCAUAUGGGUAGAUUAUUCUACACAAGUAAUGACAAGAAGGGAAAGGCUGCUUAACAUGCCACACUAAAAAACAUUGAAUCAGAGCAUAAUUGGCUAAUUGCACUCUUUACUUCUUCUUUUUUUUUUUUUCAAAAUAGGCAAUUCCCUGUUGAGAUCCUAAAAGUAUAAACUUACCUCCUGAAAGGUGCAAAAAUUCACUGCAUGAAACACCACAUAACUCAUAAAUUAUUAAAAUUAGUUAGAAAUUGUUCAUGUUAAGCCAGAAAAGUUAUCUUUUCUUCACUCCCAUGUAUCCAAUUGCUUAAAGUUUCUCCAACCAAAAUUUUACAACUUCACCAUUCUAACAUCCCUAAAAAAGUGGUAAUAAAGUUAUAAAUUCAUAUAUGUUUAAACAAGUACGGAAUCAGAUAUUUUACUCAAAGACAAUAGUGUGUAAUAAACACUGUUAUAUACCGCAAGAAGUCCUUCCCAAAUGAAAAAUCCUGGAGAUCAACUACUCGAAGUUUUUGACCAAUAGAUCGCAUAAGUAACAAAGCAUAUUCUCCAGUCAAUGCACAAGAUGAUUCAUUAAGCACAUCAACUGCUUCAAUCUCAGAUUCACUGAUUUUCAUAGACACUUCAAGAAGUGAAUGAAAAUCAAUAUCCUUCACAUUGUCCAAUAAAAUCUCCAGGAUACAUACCUCAUGACAGGAUUUUUUAAACUCAGCCUGAAUAGUUGAAAAACAAAAAAAGGUGAUUAUCAGAUGUAAAAAAAGUAUAAACAGCCACCAAAAACAAAGAAACAUGAUGUUGCUGCAUAGAGCAUCCAAGAAGGAGAGAAAAAAUUAAGGUAAAUAUUUAACAUAUUUAACUACAGAAGUAGAUUCUCUUUGCCACAUUGACAAGAGGAAGAACAGUCUUUUGAGCCAAAAUUUUGGAUGUGAUAUUAGGUUGAAAACCAUCAAACUAAAAUUUAUAUAAUGCAUUGCCAUCCGUUACCAUCAAGACUAGGGCAGUAGUGCGCAAGGGUGCCUACAACUCUACCACCAUAACACAUACACCUAGAGCUAACCAGACAACAAUUAGGAAUAGGUUAUUUAUAUCACAUUCUUUGAUUAUUAACAAAAUACCAGGAUGUAAAUACUAUGUCAGUUCAAGUUCAAGGGAGCUUUUGAUCUUUGACAUAUUAAUAUAUUGUAAGAUUUGAGAAUUAUUGAAAUUUCCCUUGGUUUUGAGUGUGUUCUUCAAAGUCUUUGCAUUUCUAGAGUAUUUUGUACUCAUCCAACAUCACUAAGUGUGCUAUGUGGUAGUUAACCAAUUUCUUUUUCCCUAGAUAAAAAAAGUCACAAAACCAGCUAAAUAAACUCUUUUCCCCUUCACCAAGUCCUCCACCAUAAGGAUGCACCUUGAACCAUCAUUCCAUUCAUUAGAUGUCUUAAGCAUAAAUUAUGUGCCUUUGCCUUUCAAGGGACAAUUAGAUGCACUGGUACAGCCCAACACUUUGCAACAAAGCUUAACCCCAAUCUUCAACUCUUAGAGCAUCUCAAGCAUACUAUAUCUAACAGUAGAAAUGAUCCCUUCCUUACUACAACCUGAAAUAGGUCCAAGAAAAGAGCUCAAAGAUAUUACACGUGACGUCGAACAUUUUCCUCACUGCUCAAAGCAGGAAAACUGAAGUGCCACUCUCGAAAGAUAAAGAAGCUCCAAAGAUACUCUCUAAGUCUCAAAAUCAACAUUAAAAUCAGAAUGCAUUGAUAGCAUGAUUAUAGGAUCAGAAAAAUAACGAGCCUGGCAAGCCAAUUUGGGGCCCCUAGGCUAAUGAUCAGAAGGUCCAAUUGGUGUUUCUAAAUUCUCAACAUUAAGUCCAUUCUAAAGCAAUGAGAAUCAUAAAAAUGCACUCAUCUUCAUACAAUAGCGACAUUAAAAUUUAAGAAAAGCAACUACAUCCAUGCACAGUUCCUGAUUGAAUAAUCAAUUGCAUAAUCAUUCAUCGGUACAAACCUUAAAGAGAGCAGAUAAAAAUCCAGAGCUUGGUGCGACACCAUGCUUCCUGCAUGACUCAAUGUACCUAAAACCAAAUUCAUCGAUAUAAAAAUUAGAAAAACAAAAACUAUUCUGUAUCGUUGUAACAUUGGAAAAAAUAGUUUAGAUUAAAUUUCAAAAAAGAAAAGAAAAUAAAGAAAACGCAACAGCGAUAUUCAUAAAUAAACAAACAACUUCAAAAUCAAAGAAGCUAUCCGAUAACAACGGUUGUCGAUUAAUAAUUUAUCAUUUCUAGCAAUAAAUUUUAGGUUUUUAUAGAAGAAUUCAAAUUCUAACCAAAGAAACAAUCAGCAACUGAGCCGAUAAAGAGUAAUCUUUCGAAUAAAGGAAUAGAACAAAGUUUGCAUUGAAAGGGCGAAAAAGAAGAACAAGAGACUUACAUUGAUCCUAAGGCUGGAAUUUUGAUGGCCAUAGCGAUCCAGCUCUGCGAGAUUUCGAAAGAAAGGUAAGAAAUUGUGAGAAAAACAGCAGCUUUUUUCUUGAAAAUACCUGUUGAAUUGGAUUUUGCUGUUUUACAUUAGAUAAGUUGGGAAGGUAGUGUGUAGGAGGAGUUGGGCGGAGAAGGACAGAUUAAUGCAGAAAUGGCAAAUGUUUUAGUUUACUACUAUUAAACGCACAACUGGGCCCCACUUUCAGCUUUUCAGAUGACGCUGCGUGAGUCAUUUUCCUUUUUUUAAAUAUUUUUUUUUUAGUUUUAAGAGGUUAAAAUACAUAAAAUAAAAUAUUUGAUUUUGAUGUAUUUAUAUUAAAAUUUCAAAAAUUUUAAAAUAUAAAAAAGAACAAAUAUGAAAAAUAAAUUUAUAAUAUAAAAGAGUCUUAAAUGGUUAUGAAUUGGACAAAGCUAAUUCAAUGGAUGGUUAAACUCAAUAUAAAUGGUAGUGCUCAAAUAUAACCAGGUUUAAUGGCCACCUCCAGGUGGUAUUAUUAGAGAUGAAAAUGGUUAUUGGCUCAUUGUGUUUACAUAUAAAAUAAGAAUUUCUUUUUCACUAGCAACAAAAUUGUGGGCUCUAUACCAUGGAGUAGAAUUAUGUUGAAACAGAGGUUAUAGACAGGUUUUAAUAAAAAUUGACUCUCUAAUGGUGAUUUAGAAAAUUUCAAAAGAUAUCUCAAAUUUAAAUUCUUACACUAAUACACUGCAAAGGGUCAAAGACUUAUAGAGAGAAACUAAAAUUAUUUUAUGACUCGCAUAUAUUGUAAAGUAAAUCAAUAUGCAGAUUAGAUAGUAACGCAUUAUGAUAAUUUAUCAUUGAGCUUAUGUGUAUUUGAUAGCCCUCCACCUAGCAUUAAUAUUCUUUUAUUUGGAAAUAUGUUUGGUAUUGUUUGGUCAAGGAUGAUAUAAUUGUUUGAAGUUAUUUAUAUUUUUUUUUACAAAAAAAAUUAAUUUCACUUUGAGAUAUUAAAAAGUGAAAAAAAUGAAGGAAAACAAUAAUAAAAUAAUUAUUUUAUAUUUCUCUUUUUAUUCGACUUUGGUAAUUAGAUUUUUUUGUUUUUUACGUUUUUAUUAGUUACAUUGUAAUUUCAAAGUUAAAAAUUCAAGCAUUAUAUUUGCUUCUUUUUUUCAUGGAUCAAACAUGGUAGCCUUGCUAUAGAAGACAACAAAAUCACGAAAUUAACCAACCUACCAUUUUUAUAUUUUGUACACCAAACCUUCCAUAUAUACUUGUACUGUGGUAUGUAAAUAUGGUAAACUCUUUCCUUUUGUCUGUUCAUAACUAUUAUGAAAACACCUACCAAAUCUUGCAUUCUGCUAAUUAAAUCCAUUGAAUUAAUAAUUUUAUUAUUUUUGUUUACAAUUAAAAGAAGACUCUUAAAAAUGUAAAGUCAAUUUUAAAAGGUUUUACAUUUUUUUAGUGAAUGUACAAGUGUAUAAGAUAAUAAUACCCAAUGAUGUAUUCUUUUGUUUUUUUAAUAAAACAGUGAUGUGAAGCUUUAGAACGAUAAGAAUAUUUGGUAAGUAAAUAUAAAAAGCUUAAAUUUGUCGAAGUUAUCUGGUUGUUGGGUAGGAAUAGCUGUGGUAGCUGACUGUUCCAUGGUUCCCUCUGGCACCACAUCGGUGAAUUCAGGAAUUGGAAUUUUUAUUUGUUAUUGCCAUCAUUUUGAAUUCUAACUUGGAAGUUGGAAGCAAUUCAUAAAAUUUUGGUAUAAAGUUUGAACCAAGUGGACAGUGCUCAAAUGUGGAAAAUAAAACAAGGUUAAGUAAAAGAAUUCAGACACUUGAACGUUUGCUUUAUUUUUUUCCUCCACUUUUAUUUAAUCAUUGGGAUUAUGUGCUGUUGACUAAGAAGAUUAGGAAUUUGUAUGCUUUGUUGGAUGUUUGUCUCAAUCUUUAAGUAGUUAUUUAUGUUUCUGGAAUAUCUUUAUCAGCAUUAGGUAUAAAAAUAAAUAAAUUAAUUAAUUAAUUAAUGAAACAUAAUGUAGCGAAGAAGACACUGUAAAUAUAUAUAGUUGCUAGUUGGUAACACGUAUUUUAUAGUUAUGAUUUUGGGGAUUCUUUUAUUAUGGAUUCGGUGUGCUGCCAAACCCCAAAAUGAACAUUUUUAUAGUAGGUGUGAACUUUGAAGUUUUGCACAUCCUACUGAUGACCCCUUGGAAGUUUCCCUGCCGGGGUGGGGUUGGGUUGGGUCAAGGACUCAAGGUAGACUUUCAUGGUUUUAUAGCCGACAACGUUUGAUCGACAUAAAUGUGCCGCAAAGUAAUGGGGUAAAAAGCACUACCCUGGGGCAUGCAGCUUAUCGAUGACUGUACAAAAUAUAGUAAGAUUUACUUACGCUUUGUUCCAGGAUGGGGUACAAGUGAGGACUCGCUUAUCCUUGUCCAAUUCCGAACGUUGGAUUUAUGAAGAAGCUGUUUCAGUUUAUGCUAUUAUUAGAUGGACUUCAAAGUUCAAACAUCGCAAACAAGUCAGGGCCUGUGGAAUCGAACUGUCGAAACCUAGCCGUGGGGUAUCAGGCCUAAAGUGCAAAUAAAAACCCAAAUGGGUCUCGGUUCAUUGAUUUUUUUGUUUUCGCCCCCCCGAAAGAACAUUUUUUCCGACAUACGGUAAAUGAACCAGCUCGUAUAAGGUGCAAAGAGACUUGACCAGUCUAAAUUUCACAAAACGAACAUCAGAUCAAGAUAAGUAGCCCAAUUUAAAUUUUAAUCAUCUAAUGUUUAAUGACAGGAAGAAUAACAACUUUAAGUUUGCUGCCAUCGGUAUGCAUAUUUCGGCCUGUGGACUUUAGCAUGGUUAUAAAUCUAGGUUGGGCUUGGCCCCGAGGUAUGGGUCUGUAGGGCUUUGUUAUUGAUGGACGAAUCAAAAAGAGAUAAUUGGGAAAUUCGAAUUUUAUUUUUUAAAUAAGAAAAUUAUAUAUUAAUUAAUAAAUUAAAUGUUUGCAUGCGACUGUAUAAUAAUUAUUUAAUUUUUGAAAUUUAAGAAUUUAUCCUCUCAAGAAGAUCAUAAUAAUUGAGAUAAUAAUUACUCAGGAUGAGUGCUUUUUGGAAACUACUUAUUAAUUUUUAAUUGUAAUCUUAAAAGUUCAUUUUUUUCAAAUAAUAUUAUUAGGAUAAUUAUAUAAAGUUGGUGAUACAGUUAUAAUACAAUAUUAUUCGUUAAUUAGCUAGUUUGAUUACAAUUGUUAACUAGUUAAUUAGAUAAGUUACAAAACUAGUUAGAGUUAGAUUAUGAGUAAAAUUAAAUUUGUAUAUACAUAUCUCAUUUGUUUUUAUGAUAAAUAUAAUUUUAUUAUAACAAAUAUAAUGAUAAAAUGAUAGGAAAAUAUUUUUCCACGGACUAUUAACUAGUUAAGAUAAUUGUAGAAACUCAAUGAUAGGAUUAUAAUAUAAUACCAUUAGCUAGUUAGUUAGUUAAAUACCAUUAUUGGUUAAUUAAUUAGUUAAAUUAUAACACUGUUAAUUAAUUAAAGUUUAAUUAUAAAUAUAAUUAAUUAUAUAAAUUUCAUUCAUUCUUAUAAUAAAAUAUUAUUUUUGAUAUAAUUUCAAAAAUACUAUAUUUCUUUUAUUAUAACAAAUAUAAUAAUAAAAUAAUAUGAAAUUAUUUUAUCAAUGACCAGGCUAUUUUGUUUUUUUUUUUUGGCAGUGCCUGAAUCAGGCAUGAAGAUUGACAGAUUGUCAUUCAGCAAUAAAUAAGUAGUUAAAAGCAUGAUAUUGAUAUAUGGGGUACAUCAAGGACUCUCUUGAAAGGAAAUCACUCUUUGAAUCAAUGCUUAUUAACUAAGGAAUAUACUCUAGUAAAAGAGCUGAAUCAAGAUCAACGAAAUAAAAUGGGUACCGUCCGUCGCGAAAGGUGCACCGUUAUUGUACGACAUGUUACAGGAUGGUCCUCCCUCUUUUGUUGAAGGAACACUUGCUUAUGUGAAAAGAAUCAUCAAACUACCACUUUCAAACCCUUUUUUUUUUUGUUUUUUGUUCACAAAUAACAAAAAGUAAUAUAUUAAUCUUAUACUUUCAAUUGCUAUGUAUCCCUCCUUUACAACUUUGGAUAUUUUCCACUCUUUUUUAACUGCAGCAUCACCCCCUAUUUAUUAAUUGUAAUGAUUUAAUAAUAGCAAUAGUUUUGAUUGUUUGUAAAUGCGCGUUGAAAAUAGUCACGAAAGUGAACUUCAUUAGUCAACAAAAGAGUAGGGAACAUUAACUCGAGCUUAAAAAACUUGGAUGGAGCCGGUCUAAAUAAUCCUAAGCUGACCCCAUUCAAAACAAUGAAUCCUUUGUGAACUCUCUUCAAUGUAAAAGCCUACUUAGCAACUUGAAUGACAUAAGCAAAUCGGAAUAAAUGUCAAAGAAAGCUGCCUAUAUAUAUUUAUAUAGGUCUGGGACACAAAGAAUCUAAAAUAAAGAGAAAAACAAAAGAAAAGGCAGUGUUUUUUUUUUUUUUCCAAUCCAAUGUUGCAUGACUCUGAAACCUCAUUAUAAUGGAGAAGUUCCUUUAGUCUUUUGUCACCUUAGAUUUGACAGCCUCAACUUGUUAAAGAUGGAAUUCGCCUCCCACUCUUUCAUUUCGAGUAGGCUCUUCUUCUUUAAAAAAGAAAAAGAAAAAGGUCGUGAAAGAAAGCUCUGUCAAAGAUUAUGACACCAUCUUUUUCUCCACGAAGCUUAGCUGCGCUGCCCAUCCCUCUCUAUCAAAUGCAGUGGAAUUUUUUUUUUUUUAGCUCAAAAACAGUAUUAAGUAGUGCACGUGCUCUGGCGCGUAAAGAAGAAGGCUGUUGGGGGGAGUCAAAGGAGUUAUCAUGGCAGAGGGACCCAGCAGACGAGAAGACCAUGCUUUUUAUGCUCUCUGAUUCGUGAAUUAUUGUGUUAGACGAAUAAGAAGCACAUUAUAACAUAGACAUGUUUCUUAUUAGGUAGGAAAACAAAUAAUAAGGCAUAGUGGCAACCAAAUUGGGAAAUACUUUUUUUUUUUCUAUUUGGGUGGCAAAAAAUAAAAAGGAAAAUUAGUUUCUACUAAUUGCCAGAGCAAGGCCAAGUAAAAAAUAUACAAUAUAAUAUUUCCAGGGCUGAGGGAGAAUUUUCCAUUUCCCCACUCUUUUUGGACCUUUUUCUGACGCAGGAGCACUUCAUUUAACAUGUAUUGGCCAAGUUGGAAAUAAUUAAAUAAGAUGAUAAAAUAGAAUAAUUAUUUUAUUUAUCUUUUCAGUAUCACAUGUAAUAAAGUUGCCUAACGAGUUCAUUUUCUGACUGAUAAGCCAAUUACAAUUGGCGGUGCAGGGUCAUAUCUACUUGACUAUCCAUAAUUAAAAAAAUAUAUAGAGUAUAUAAGCUUUUAGGAACGGGAACUGAUGUAUCAAAAAAGAAAGACUAAGAUCUUAAAUAAAGAUCAAUGAGAAUGCCUUUGUCUAUAAGGAACAACGAUUUUGUCCACUGCCUCUGAGGCCUUUUCAUUAAAUAGUGAACAUGGCCCACUAGUUCAAUUAUGUGCUUCACUGGUAAAUCUAGCUAAAUACCCUACUUCUUUAAUACGUUAAUUAAUUAUCACCCCAUAUAAAAACAAUUUUAGCAAGAUUAAUUAAAUGGCUGUUUAAUUUGAAUGUGUACUAAUUUUUUAAUAUAUAUAAAAUGAUAAAUAAUUUUUUGUUAUUUUUAAUUUGUUUCAUCUAAAACUGACAAUAACUAGAAUAUAUAUAUAUAUAUAUAUAUAUAUAUUUAUUUAUUUUACAAAUGGAUCUCAACCUUUUCAUUUCAUCAAGUUACCCUUUUCAAUGGCAAAAUGGAAAUAUGAAAAGAAUGUGUUAGGCAUGUUUUGAAGUGGUUGUAUUUGAAUUAGAAUCUAAUUAUAAAAUUUAACACCCAUACUCUAUCUAUUCAAAUUCAAUUAACAAUGUCUUAUAAAUUUUCAAUUAAAAUCCGAACAUGUUUAUGUAGUUAAAAAUGAUAUGGGCAGCUGUUAAAAACUUAACCCAAUCUGAUUUCAAUAAUAAAAAAUAAACUUUUAUAAUUUUAUUAGUUAAAAUUAAAUUAGUAAAUUCAAAUUAAAUUUUAUAUUUAAAAAUUAUGGAAUUAUAAGUAACACAUGCAUUAAAAAUAAUAUAAAUAUUUAAAAAUUUAUUAUUUAUAAUCAAAUUUGAAUAAUGAAUAUUUCAAAAUUACUACUCGUAUUUUUUAUCUUAAUAUUUUUUAUAGAAUACUUUAAUCCUACUUAAAUGAGCUGAUAUUAUUGAAUAUUCCUUUACCUACUGUUCUUUUCAUUAAAAAUUAGAAUAUAAAAAUUUAAUGUUUGUAUCCUACGGUAGAAAUUAAACAAUUGACAUAUCGAGAACUGCUUAUGAAAGUUUUGAAUGAUAUGAUGGCAACAUUGAAAACGGAGGGUGGUUAGGAGGUUGAUAGCACGGGGAUGGGGGACUAAGAUAUUUUUGCAUGGAUGAUGGGACUCAUGAAGACAAUAAUGGAGGAACGCAAACAUUAAUACUUUGAGAGCAAUUAGUAACCAAAAAUAUAUAAUCUUUGGGGUCACACGUGAUCAAGCCAACAUGUAUAUAAAACACAAUCUCAUCAUGGAGAUACUAAGAUGUGGGAUGUAACAAUGUGUGUUUGACAAAACAACAUACGGGGACAAGCCGUUUGUUUGUCUUUAUUCUUUAAUUCUAUUGCAAAAAGAAAAAGAAAAGACGUUCCAUUACACUAAUUCUUCAAGUGCAUUAUUUGCAUUUAGGACUGUGAAGAUCUGUCUGCCAUUUAGAGACUAAAUUCUGGGUUAAUUAACAAAAUAAUCUACAUAUACACAAUGGGAUUGGUCAGAACCCCAAUUAACAAAAGUACAUAAAACCCCAAUAUGACCUUAAAAAACAUAAUAAGACAUGUUAAUGAAAAUAUAGAGAUUAAAUUCAUUAGGAGAAGCACGGGAAAAGGUUAGACUAUUUGGAUAUAAAUAGAAUAAUUUAGAAUCUGUCCCCUAAUGCAAAUAAGAGAAAUAGUUUAUGAAAUAAAAGUUCAUAUCCAAGCCAUUUUUGGGUGUCGUCUACUCUGUCUCAUCCCCACGUCCCCAUCUUGACUACGGCCGAAGGUUUUAUCUUUCAUUGACCACUUUGGCAUCAUUUUGGACCGAUAGUAGUGAAUUAAAGCAUCUAGCCUUAAGUUGAGGGUACAACUCCUAAGAUGUUCUCCAUAUGAGUGUGUUUUCAUUAUAAUCUUUCUCUUAUACCCAAUUCUAUUAUUUCCAUGGUUUCUUAUGCUUUGGCAAGCUUGGCCAAUAAGGUGUCUAAAUCAAAGCAUAAAUAAGAUGCAUCCCCAUUCUUGCACUUUGGCCAGUAAUAAAUCAAUCCUAUAGUUAAAAACAAGCUUGGGUUCACAGUGAGGAAUGAAUCAAAGGGGAUGCUUGUUUGAAAAAUUAAAUUAAUUAAAAAAAUAUUUUUUUUUGUCAAUACCAUAGAAUAAAAAUCAGAUAAGGUUUUAGAGAAAUGGACAAACAUAAAAGAUGUACUGUGUUUAAACGACCAAGCACACCACGCAACCACAAUAACGGCAAAAGGAUAGUGUUGUAUAGGCUUGAGGAGAGUAUGGUGGCAGUAUCUGCACCCACCUGACCAUAGACGUUUUAUUGGGCAUUUGCAUGUUACUUCUUUCUUGUUGUCCCUUUUCAGCUUUCCCCCCUCGCAUUGCCCAUUUUAAUGUUUUUUAUUUUGGGGCACAAAAUCUUUUUUAUUUAUUUAUUUUCCAUAUGAACAUUUGUCUCAAUAUGCUUAAUAUUUUUUAUUUCAAACAAUUGGGUUUAAAUCUUUUUUUUAGCAAAUGCUAUGAGAAAAUUAUAAUUACCAAUAUUUUUAUUUAAUUUUAAUGGAAUUGGUAUAAAACGUGAGUUUUGAAUAAUAAUUUAGUUUAUAUGAUAGAGAAUUUAAUUUGCAGAUAUCUUUUUAUGUAUGUUUUUGUUUGAUUGAUUGAGAAAUGAUGAUAUAUGGAGAUGCGAAGACUGACUUUCCACGAGAGGGAAGAAAAAAAAACUGAAAGGAAAUUAUGGUUUUGUUUUUGAUUCUUCUAAGUGGUGGGAGGAUCUGUUAGCUGUACGCACUAAAAAUGAAAAUAUAAAGUUAAAAAACGCGUCCCCCAAGGGCCCUCAACUUUUUAGCCUUUCACAUGGUUCAUUAUCCCCUUCCAUUGACAAAUCACAGGUACAAAAAAUUCUCUUAUUCAACAUCCAUAUCAACGACACAAUAAAUAUUGAAAAAAAAAAAGGAAGCAUUAACAUGUAUAUUUGGCAAUAGUAUUUUUAUCUAUGGUAGUAGAAUUGAUGGUCGAAUGUUUCCUAAAUUGAUGAAUUCUUGCUUGGAUAUAAAUAUAGGGAGUAAUAAAAAAAAAACAGGGAAAGUUUUAAUUUAGAUAGGUUGGAAUAAAUAGCACAUAUGCCCGGCUCUUGAUGAGUGCACUAAAGAUGGAAUAUUGAUGUACCUUUUUUUUUUCUUUUCGCCUUUAUAAGGAAGUAAUUGGGACUUGGAAAAUAUGGUUUUUUGUUGUUAUUUUUCAUUAUUUGAAUCAUAAAAAUAGUAUAAGAUAUAUCAUAAGCAGUAUACAAAAAAUGAUAAUUGCAAGUACCAAAAAAAAGACGAGAUAAUAGAUCAUAGUAAAAAUAAAAUCAUAUUUAUUUAAUUUAAAAUAUAAUAUUAAUUUAAAUAUAUCAUAUUUUAAUUAAGGAUAAUUAUUUUUUUAUUAGAUUCAAAAAAUGGAUUAUAAAUUAAUUAUCAAUAUAUUAAUUUUAAUAAUAUGUCGAUAAAUAUUAAAAUAUAAUGUGGUUAAAAUGUAUUAGUGGACCUUGUAUUUCUCGAUGUUCGGUCGAGGAUAGAAACGACUCAUUCUUGUUGGUAGAUGGGCUGUAACUAAAACCGAUUAACACGAGAGUAAAACAUAAUACACAUGGAAUAUCCUAUUAUCACAAUCUCCUCGAGUCUCUCUUCAUAUACUCUCUAUCUUAUUACGCCACGUGGUCACCAUGCGUUUUCUCCAUUGGCUCCCACGUUUAGAUUUGUGCAUCCUGGAAUUACGGGAACACCCUCACGUGACUAAGCAGCCACUAGUUGAGCGAUUACGUUAGAUGAUGUACUCCACUCGAUUCCGUUUCCUUUUCUGCUGAAUAUAUGCUGCUGCGAGUGCCAUGCCAAAGUUUUCGAUUCCCCCCUUGACGUGGCGCGGUGAAAAACAUAUCAUUUUAAUAAAAAAUAGUUAGAUAGUACUUAAAUUUAUGAUAUCUCAAAAGGUGGGAUGUUAAUUAUCAGGUGUCGUCAGUUUUGAGAGGGGCGGACGGAAGGUUACGCUAGAUCUAGUCAUCCGGACAUUUCAAAAGUUUAAAUAAUACAGUCAAAAAUUGAAUGGGAAAAAUAAAUAACAAGAAAUGUGUGUUUGACUAAAGCAACAUGUAUACUUUAAAUUCGCAAAAGUCUAGUUUAAUUCCCAUGUCCCUUGUGUUUAGCCAACCAUUUUUCUUGCUUGGGGUUUGGUAGAUAAUCAACCGUCGUGACAAGACCAUUUUUGUUAGACAGAAAAUCUCAAACGUAGAGUAACAAUUUGAAAUCCAAGAGGGUGAAUGACAUGACAUUACUUGAUCUCUAAGAGAAAUUCCAAAAAAAUACAUUUGGUAUAUAGUCCGUAUGCCAUGUAAGGAGUGAGGACCAAGUAAUUAACAAGUUAUACAAUAAGGUUAAAAUAGCAGUACUUUUCUUUUAUAUUGAUAUAUAUUAUUAUUAUUAUUAUUAUUAUUAUAAGAAUUAAAAGAGUAUCUGAAAUGGCAAUUUUUCUCCAAUGUAAAUACUUAAUAGUACUAACAUUCUUUGACAAGCAUAAAGGGUAGGUGAAAACUCUCGCUCUCACAGCGAAGUCACAUUCUUUCUCAGUUUCUUUAUUCAUUUAAUUGGCCUUUUUAGGCACUCCUUGCUUUUCUCUCUCUAAAAUCAUAGGAUUAUAAAAAUAGGAGAGCAAAGAGAGUGUAUUUUGCUCUCUGAAAAGUAAAGCUCUCCCCUUGCAAGGUUUGCUCUGUUCUCUGUCUCUAAAAAAAGAAAAACAAAAACGAAACGCCAGUUUCUCACUGCUGCUCUGCUCUCCAGUUCCCACUCUCUCCAUGAAGGGACUUCACCGUUCUCUUUAUCCUCUUUAAAACUUCCCCUUAAUCCCACCCUUAUCUCCUCUGUUUCUUUCUUCAUCGCCAUAUCAAGGAAGGAAACCUUUUUUCUUUUUUAAAGAAGAGGAAAGACCCCGAAUAGAAAUGGAGAAAAAGCAAAGUUUCUUCUCAGCUCUCAAAGAAGAAGUAGUUCGUGGGCUUUCCCCUUCCCGCUCUCGGCCCAACAGCCCUGCAAGAGCACGUUCACCCAUGGCUAGUCUGUUACGCAGAAAGAAGAGCAACCACAACAACUACGGAGGCGCUUACGUGGCGCAACCGGAGCCAUUGAUCGUGAGAUCCGGGAGUCUGAGGCCAGUCGGAGAGGCGUUAGCGCCACUCAUGGAAGGUCCCGAUCCGGACGGGGGAGAAGUUGGGGAUUCAAAACGGGUCGGGUCGGGGCUGGGACAAUGGGUUAAAGGACAGUUAUCGAGGACUCCAUCCGUGGCUUCGAUGAGUUACAAAAGGUCUGAUCUAAGGCUCUUGCUUGGGGUCAUGGGUGCGCCUCUGGCUCCAGUUCAUGUUAGCUCUAAUGACCCUUUGCCUCACUUGAGUAUCAAAGACACUCCGAUUGUUAGUACUCUCUCUCUCUCUCUCUCUUCUUUUAACUUCUUUUUAUUCUUUAACUUAUUCUACUUCCUUUCCUUCGAAAAAGAAAAAAAAAUUAACUUCUUGAAUUUUUUUUUGGUGGUGGUUGUUUGAUUAGUUAGCAACAAAGUGGGAGUUUGGUUGGAUAUUGAUUUACCAAUAAUACUAUAUUCUAUGUAUUUUUCUAGUAUUAUUUGAGUGUGGAAAAAGGAGGUUUUUUUGAGUGUUUCUUACGAGUUUUGUUGGUUUAGAUUUUGGAUUACAUUCUAUGUUUAGCGUAGAUUCAAUGACACUAAUGGAUAUAGUAUUUUAUUUGUGUUUAUUAAGGAUUAAUCAUGUUUUUAAUAUUUGCUUGCUUUAAGCUUCUUCUAUGGGUGAUAGAUCCCUGCAAAGAAGUCACGGUUUUGAUUCCAACUGUUUGGUUUGCAAGAAACUGGAGGGAAAAUCCUUGUAGGGUUGUAUACUUUUCUUGGAUUCCAAAUAAUUAUAUUACUUGUUGGAAAUAAAAAGCUGUGGUUUCCCUUCAAAAAACAAAAAAAAGAACUGCACAUUGGAAACAGUGUGUUUGUGGCUGUAGGGUUUUUGAGAGUGUCUUGUAUGUUCAAAUACUGACACAAAACUACUUGUGGGUGAAGUUUCUCAUUUGAUCCUUAUUAGGCUUUAUUCCUUGCUGUGUUCUUGUGCUAAAAUGCCAUGACUCAAGCAUUGAUUACUGUUAAAAUUUUUACUUGUAUUGUGGUUUGGUGCAGGAAACUUCCUCUGCUCAGUACAUAUUGCAGCAGUAUACAGCUGCUUCUGGUGGGCAGAAGCUUCAAAACUCCAUUCGGAAUGCGUAUGCAAUGGGAAAGCUCAAAAUGGUAGCUUCAGAAUAUGAAACUGCCACAAGGACUGUUAAGAACCGUAAUGGCUCUAGAGGUGCAGAGUCUGGUGGGUUUGUACUCUGGCAAAUGAAUCCGGACAUGUGGUAUGUUGAACUUGCAGUUGGGGGCAGCAAGGUUCAUGCUGGCUGUAAUGGGAAGCUUGUCUGGAGGCACACACCUUGGCUUGGUGCGCAUACUGCAAAGGGGCCUGUUAGACCCUUGCGUCGUGCACUUCAGGUGUGGUUUCAUCUGCUUAUUCAAUUGUUCAGUCAUACUUUUAGCAUUUUCAGUUUUUUGAUAUUCUCUUUGGGGUUUAUAAUCCCUGCUUCAGGGUCUUGAUCCAAGAACUACAGCUAGUAUGUUUGCUGAUGCAAGAUGCAUAGGAGAGAAAAAGAUUAAUGGUGAGGAUUGCUUCAUCCUCAAGCUUUGUACUGAUCCUCAGACACUGAAGGCAAGGAGUGAAGGCCCUGCAGAGAUCAUUAGGCAUGUUCUAUUCGGCUACUUUAGUCAGAAGACUGGACUUCUUGUUCACAUGGAAGAUUCACAUCUGACUCGCAUCCAAUCUAAUGGUGGUGAUGCCGUUUAUUGGGAAACCACAAUCAAUUCAUAUCUUGAUGAUUACCGGCCUGUUGAAGGCAUCAUGAUAGCACAUUCGGGGCGUUCUAUUGUGACUCUUUUCAGGUUUGGGGAAGUUGCAAUGAGCCAUACAAAAACAAAGAUGGAAGAGGCUUGGACGAUUGAAGAGGUUGCAUUUAACAUACCAGGCCUUUCUGUUGAUUGUUUUAUCCCUCCAGGUGAUUUGAGAUCUGGAUCCAUCAGUGAAACCUGUGAACUUCCUCAGGAUGAAAGGGAGAAGGGAGCAAUUGCUUUAGCAGCACAUCGUGCCAAAGUCGCAGCCCUAGAAAAAGCACAGGAUGGCGGUGCUGACAGCAUGGUUUGGAGGAUGCAAGUCUGAUGAAGUGGAGAAUCACAUCUUGGCAAUUGUUCAUAUUGGUAGCUAGUGCAGUGGACUAACCCAUUAGAAGUUACAAGGUAGAAGUCAUUUUUUGGACUUUGGUUUAUGCCUCUAUUAAUCUGUACAUAGAGCAUAAUCAUUCAAAGGUUCCAACAGACCUGUAUGAAUUUUUAUACUCUCAAUGCAGAAUCCAACUAUGGAGUUGGAGCUCAGUUUUCCAGUUAGGGAUUAGAGCUAAUGGAGGUUAAUUUUAGGUUACCUUCCUUGCUUGAGGGUAGGUGGUAAAGGCGUAAAGCUGUCCCAUUAACCUUUUUAUAGUUUUACUAACUCUAGUGGUUAAUGAAAUAUAAUGUCGCAGUAUGAAGGAUACUGCUGCUGAUCAGCAUGAGUUUGACAGUAAUGUCUAGUUUCUAAUGUUACUGUUUCUGGAUUUGUGAUUCCUUGUGUGAUUGUUUAACUUUAAAACUUGUUUUUGGGUUUGGGAAGGAAAAGAGAUUUUGCUGGAUAGAUGGUGAUUAAAAGGCAUGGUAAAUGAGAUGGAACUAACUAUUUUCCUUACCUGCUGUAACAAAAUUGUGUUAAUGACCUGAGUUCUGGUUGGGUGUAUGUUUGCAUUUGUCCAGUGCUGCUUAAAGCAAAUGUAAUCAGAAAAUAUCAUGUUCAUCAUUUAUUUAAUGCUCAUAACGAGUAUCGAGAUCCGUGUGUUUCCUUCUUUUCACUUCUGAAUUGUGUUUAUCAUCUUGGAAUUAAGUGUUGAAACUUCACUUGUCAAUUGUGAGUGGCCAAGAUAUAUGCCUAAAUAAUCUUCUGUUAAUGUUUCUCUUUAUGAAUAUUUAAAGUUUUAAACCUUGACACGAGCAUCUAAGUCUGCAAUUUUCAUAACGUUGGUGGGGUCUCUAGCAAUUGUCUUAGCUUUCUAAAUUCCGCGAUGGCCAGCUCUGAUGCGCCAAUCUCCAUGUGUGUGAACGUCCUUUAUGUGGUGCAUGACAGGCGGCAUCUAGGGUUGUCUUUGAAAGUUCAGUACCAUUGUCAUUGUAUGCCUCACUGCCUUGCCUUUGGAACUUUUUUCCUUGACCGUGUCUCCUGGUAGUUGGUUCCACAGGCUUCCUGGUGGGGCCCUCCUCUACUUUUAUAAAUUAUUCAUUCCAAUUCAUACAAGUGAAAAAGCUUUUUAAGGUUAAAAAGCCCCUUCUUUGACCAUUGGACUCGAAGUCGUCAGUACAGGUUAAUGUGGGGUUAGGUUGGAAGUGCAGUUUGCAUCGUUCAAAGCAGAGCUUGUGUGUGAAAAUAUCAUUACAACUGGGCACGAGGUGAAAGUUGCACCCAACCCCAUGUGAUUUCCUUCCUCAUCCUUUCUUUUCUUUUCUUUUCAUUUGCUCUACUGUGUUAACAAGCAUUUUAUUUCCUGCUUUCGCAGACAAUGUCGUUCAGUCUUCCGCAUCUUUUACAUCCAAUUUAGGUGCUGUUUAUCUCAUUUUACUGUUUUCGGUUUCUCUCUUGGGAGGGAAGGUUCCUCCUCAUGAUGAUGUUUCUGAAAGGUCAAAUACUCUCAUUGAUGAGUGCUUUUUGCAUUAUUUAACUCCGUUUGUCUGUUCCGGAAGAGAGAUGACAAUAAAUACAUCCUAUCCCAACAAUACCUUUACCAAUAUUUAAUGAGGCUCCUUCCUUCAUCAGGAUGACGUGCAAUCCACAGUGUUUAGAACUAAUAAGUGCAUAAAUGAAGAAACAAACCCAAAGCCAUCAAAACCGUGUGAGAGAUUUUCAUCAAAUUCACCUCCAAUUCGCAAAGAUUGAGGAUUCAGCAAUUAAAUGCAUGUCAAAGUCAUGUGAUAUUGCAAUCCCAACAACCGUAACGCAUUCUUUUUGACUGCAAUACUCAUAAUUCCUGGCUAAUUAGCCUCAAUAAAAAACACUUUGAUCUGUCAGUCACCCUCGAAAAAUCAUUUGAUUGAUCCCACCUUUGUAAAGAUACUAUGGUCCCAAAGCCUAAAUGUGAAUACUCAUGGGUAUUUUGCCUUUGCAAAAAAAAAAAAAGUUUGUUGGUGUCCAAUCUACCCUCGUCAGAGCAAUGAACAACUAUCCCAAAGAUGGCCGCUGCACCAAACUUGCCGUCCUCUUAAUUGCAUAUAUUCCUAAGGUACAAUCAGCCCGUUAUUAAGAUGAUAACAUAAUUUAACUCAUUGAUGUAGACCAUUCAACGAGUUUGUUGCAACAGCCAGUAAGUAAAACCAUCGCUCAUUGGCUUGGAGCGUAUCUUAAGAUUAAUUGGCCUAACUGCAUUCUUCCUGGAAAGGAAAAUUUUGUUUGGUGGCAUGAAAUGUUAGAACAAGCAUUACUGUACAAUGAUCAAAAGCGUUACAAAUAUUGGCAAAUGACAAUUAAAAAAACAAGUUUGGAUUAUAUACCAUUCAGAUUCUCAAAUGACAGGAUCGAAUAAUAUCUACCCUGCAGAUUUUUUUUCUUUUGAAUAGCAUCUACCCUACAGAUUUUGUUAUGGGAAAUGCAAUUAUUUUAAAAAAUGGCUUAGUUAAGCCCAUCUUCCUACUCAUUUCCUAGGAUGACCGGAUGAGUUUGUUCAGAUUCCAAGUUGACUUGGGGCUUGAUUUCAGAAAUUUUCUAUGUCCAAUCCCUAGCUAUACUUGUUAACAAACACAUUCAUUGAGAUCUGAAGUAGGGGAAUUUUUUUUACACCGGGGGUGGGCAUAAGCAUUUAGUAGGGAUACUACUCAAAGAAUAAAAAAAAGGACAUGGGAAAGACGAAAGCCUUCAACAUUUCUAGGGCAUUUCCUUUUGACUUUUGAUCCCCGCAUUUGUCUGUCUUACAGUUUUGCUCAUAAUAAUCCUUGAGAAGAAGCAGCAGCAGGAUCUUAGGGAGUGUUGUUAAAUUGCUUGACAUGUUGAGCACUUCAAAAAUGCAUGUGGGAUAUCGUAUGCAACAAAGUUUGCAGUGUCUCUAAUUUAUAACUUUGAUGGGAAAAAAAAUGAAAAAAAAAAAUUAUGCAGAAAAUCAAAGUGUCGGCAAAGGAAGUUUCCACCUCUUUGUAAGCAGUGCAAAGUAUCGAUGUAUAGUUAUGACUGUGAAUAACCCUCAUUAAUGGCAGUGGUGGAACAAUGGAGCAGUACCCCAGAAAAAUAGUUUUCACAUUUAUGUUUCCAUAGUCUGCAAGGCUCCGAACUAGUACCCAAUACGAAUAUCCCACUCUAAAAUAUAUAAUCCUGGUCUCGUCGUGGGCGUUUGUGUAUGUGCCUGUGUGCAUGUUUAGUAUCUGCACCGUACGUGCGUUUAAUAAACUUUUUUUUUUUCUCUAGAUACAAGUGAUUGCAAAUCUCUGAUUCCCUCAAUCUACAUUCAUUGCUUCAAUGGGAAUGGGGUCCUUAAUUUUCUGCUACUGAUUUAUUGGAGAAAAGGAUUAAUAAGGACAACACGAGGGGCUUUUGGGCCAGAAGCCGAUCUAGUUGCUGGCAGAUUCAUAAUUUUUGGGGGGGACAACAUGAUUGACUGAAAUUAAUGUUUUUUUUUCUUUUUGUUUUUGCUCCAAAAUUGUUGAAUGCGACCCCUUUUGCCAUUCUAAAAAUCUUGUUGUUUUGCAAUUCCAGUGGUUCUAGAAUUUUUUAACUUAUUAACAAUUAAAAGUUUUGUGUCAGAGGCUUUAAAGUUUCAGAAUGGAUGAAGUUCAAUUUAAGGAAAUAACUUGAAUUUUCUAGAGAUAUAUGCUUAAUCCUAUGGGUAAACAGUUAAUGAAAACAAUAAAAGGGAAGAAGAGGCUUGGUUUGUUUAGUUUUGCAAAAUAUUUAUAGCAUUCAUAAAAGGAAAAUAGAAUUACCAAUGGGCUAAGAAGAGGCCCAAAAUCUCAAGAUCUCCAUCGGCUUUUAGCCUUACAAAGUUCUCAAUUUCUUGUUUGGGUCAGUAAAUAAGACAGAAAAGCCCAAAUCAAAACAUCCUCCCCUUCAUGACAACAUAACAAAUGGCUCAAGUCCAGCAUUGCCAGCCGAAGAGUACUAUGGGCUCGAUUAUUUUAAUCUAGAAUAUGGACACAGUUCAAUUCCUCAUUGGCUGGUUGGACCUAAGCCUAUGGUUCAAGGGUACGGGCUGGGCUCUUUAGUUGUACUUCUUCUUUCUUUGCCAAAUCAAAUCAGCGAUUACUAUAUUCAUUUCCUGAUAAUUGUAACGAAAAAGAAUAUUUCUUUCCUUAUAAGUUAAAUAGCAAAUAUAUGGAUAAGAAAUUUGGGCUUGUACCCUUAGCUAACAAAGCAUGAUGGGUGUCAGGGUGUGGUAGUAGCCGUAUUGCGUAAUGCUAUCAUAACAUUUGUUGGAACAGAUAUGUCACCACUAACUCCGAACUUCAUAUUCAUUCCUUCGCUCACAUUCCUCUGUCAUCACAGGAAUCCAACCAUAGUUUCCCAAAGGUUAUGUAUACAUUUACCUACAUCAGCCUAUCACCUUAAAUUAGAUCAUUAUAUGCCCAAAAUUUCGAAUGCCAACGAGCCACAUCCAUCCCCACCGCCACAGCUUCAAGAUCCACCAUGUGAUGGCCAACACCACCAAAGAUAGCGGCCAUGGUCUCUUCUCCUUUGUCCCCAAUGCCCGCCCAUCCUCUCAUGUUAGCUUGUCAUGGGGAAGACUCACCACUCUAUCUUUCAGUAGGAAGAAAGUAACCACCUCACUCGACUUUCCCAGGAUGAACCAAAUACUGUCCCUCCCUCCCAUAAAUCUCAAGCCUAUAGCAUGAUGAUUCGUAAAGAAAUUAAGAAUAACUUUGAGGACACACCAAAGGCAAAACUACUCGAGAUCUCACUCGGAAAAAGGGAACCCAUUAAUGACGGAGCUAGUACCAACUCCACUCUUGCUAAAUUCAUGAUGUGUCUCCAUAAUUUCUUUCCACAUGCUCCCCACUCUAACUUCGGAAGCUUUUCAUAGCUAAAGUAAAAAAGAAAGGUUGAAUUUUAGCUGCUUAGGAAACCAGUUUUAUCCUUUGCAUGAGUAGAAAGGCAGACAUACUUGUUUGUUUUUCCACUUUGUAUCAAAUCAUCUAAUCGAUAUGGUGCUAAGUCUAUGCUAAAUUGACGAUCCAACAAAUAAAAUGGUUGUAGUAAUAAAUGAAAUGUGAGGCUAUUAAAAAAAACAAAUCAAUCAUGAGAGAAGGAGGCAGCCACCAACAAAUCCCAUACAAAAUAAACAACUCCCCUCCAAUACAAAAAGCUCCCCUCAAAAAUCUCCCAAAGAAUACAACCGAAUGAUAUAUAUAGCUGAAAUACGCAUGGUAAGAAGUCCCAUCAGGGACUGCAUCCAAUAAUACUAUAUGGAAGGGCCAAAAGUAAAUAAACACUGGAAUGAAACAUAGCUAGACACGAACAGAUCUUGUCUAAAGCAUCAAGCUGAGGAGAGCCCAUCCAGACACCAAGCUCCCUACCAUCCUGUGUACGGACCACAUUUUCUCCACUCCACUCUGCAAUCACCAUCAAGGUUGAAGCAAACCAGACUUAGUGAAAUAUUAUAGUAAUUGAGUCAUGCACAUGAUACUUAUAAAAUAAGCUCAAAACGAAUUGGAUCAUCGUUCACGGUUGAGAUAACCCAAGAUGACUAAAAGCAUGGUUAGUACUGGGACAAGCUCAGGUUAGACAAGGUCAGACCACGGAGAUAAACUGAAAAGGCUAGGUGCAGCUAUGGCCCUACGGGGGGACUUAGACUAAACAAGCUCUUUGGGAUUCUGAGCCUCAUGCUCCCCCACAAAACCAUAGGCAAAAGUUUGUUCACUUUUUUGCAGUCGUUUUGCUACCUGUCACGACGCCAAUGGGUACCUUCUGCCUUGUUCAACACUGCUGGUUUCUGAGGCACGGAUUUCAACUGGCAGGCACCUGAUCUGUCUCACAUUGAUGCUUCAACCAAAACUUACCUGCACCCUUUCCACAUGCUUUGUAAGCAGUGAUCACUAUAACUAGGCACGUGUUUUGGUCAGAGGUCAGAGCUUAGACUUCCUUAUUUUACCACCAAUCAGAGCUUUAUCCGUCUUUUUACUGCCAUGAGCUUGAUCUCACCAGAUCUUGCUCCGUACAUGCAAAGUUAAAGUACACUCGACUACACUAGCGACGAUGAGACACGAAAACGAGAAAAACUGUCCCCACGCCCUAGUUUAAGUUAGAACUUAGAGCAACCCCGUAACUUUUUUGCUACAUUAUGCAAUCGUCAUUAUUAAAUUUAAACCCCCUUAAAAUACUACAACUCACAAAAAAUAGUAACCUCAGAAAGCUUCAAGUGCAUAAAAAAAAAGGUUAUAAGUAGAAAAACAAAGAGAAGAUCAAGAGAAAGUAUACCACAUCGGUUCCAGCUGGGCCUGGUGAAGAGGCCCCGAGGCUAGGUGCAGGGGCCUCAGUUGGUGGAGCCGGUGGGCUCGAGAGCGGUGAUGGCGCUGGAGACUUAGCUUUCUUCUUGCUAGGUGCGGGAGCUGGAACUGCGGCUGGAGGAGAAGCCAAGGGAGCUGGUGGUGAGGUUGCUGGAGGAGGAGUUGCCGGUGGGGGAGUAGCAGGAGGAGGAGAAGCAGGUGGUGGAGAAGCCGGUGGAGGAGUGGCGGGAGGGGGAGAAGCCGGUGGUGGAGAGCUAACGGGUGGGGGAGUUGCUGGAGGAGGAGAGCUAGGUGGAGGAGUUGAAACUGGUGGUGGAGAAGCCGUCACUGGAGGUGGUGAUGAAGUAGGGGGAGGAGAAGAAGCCGGUGGCGGAGUGCUGGUUGGUGUAGGCGGUGGUUGAGUAGUCGGCGGAGGAGUAGAGGCUGGUGGCGUUGGAGGCGCCGGCGUGGAUGUAGGAGGAUUACUAGGAG